CGUAGGUGUUGUUGGUAUGUGAGGGUAUGUUAUUACUAGGUGGGGGCCUAUUUCUUAUUUCUUAGUUAGUGUUGCCUUUAUUUCUCAUAUUUUCGUUUUUUCUCUGGUUUCAUUUCUAUGAUUUCUUAUUCUUGUUUUUUCUGUUGUGUCAGCCAUCCUCCUUGUUUAUUAGUCUUUAUCUUGAGCCGGGGGUCUAUCAGAAACAGCCUCUCUACUUCUUCGGUGGUAGCGGUAUGGAUUGCGUAUAUCUUAUCCUCCCCAGACCCCACUUCGUGGGAAAACACUGGGUUUGUUGUUAUUGCUGUUGUUGCAACAUCAAUAAAAAUACCUUAUUUAGGUUCCAAAAUCUUUAAAAUGCAGCUAAAAGAUCCUCUUUUUUCUCCAAUUACCUAACUUUGAGCCAAAAAGUCCUCUUUUUCCUCCAAUUACAUCAACUUGAAGCUAAAAAUGGAUGGAAAAUUGGGUGUUCAACAAAAGAUUCAAGUACCCCAAAUUGGGUUUCAGUAAAAACUUUUGAGGGCUCAGAUUUUGCUGUACUACAAACAUGCAAAAGAGAAACCAAACCAACACACGCCAUGGCUGCAAGAAACCAGUUUGCAAAUGGAUACCUUACCGGGUCGCCCCGCCAAGAUACGGGUCGGUUCUUCUCAAUGCAGUGGAGUAGAUUAUUCGCCCAGAAAGAAACAAAUCAUCAUCACAGCCCAUUUUUCCUAAUUCUUGAAAAAACAUCUUUAUAUAUACAUACAUACAUAUACAUAUAUCGCAUUUCUGCAUGCAUGGAUCUUGAUUUUGCUUUUUUUUUUUUUUCAAAGGGCUGUUGUUUUUUUUUCUUUUUUAAUUUUAUGAAUGGAGAAGACAUCAUGGACAUAUUGAGAGAUUGAGAGGGGAAACCACCCUUUACAGAAAAUCCCUUAUUUUUUCUCUCUGAUGUCUCAAUUCUUGCUUUCUGGGCUAUAGAGUGGUGAGUGUUUCCAGCUAAACAGCAGUAAUAGACUCUCUCUCUCUUAUAUAUAUGUGUGUGUGUAUAAAACUAAUGAGAUGUUUGCCAUUUUUCGAUUCACCUUCAGGUUCAUCUAGUCACUGCAAUAGUUUCCUCCAUUGCGAUACACAGAAAAAUCUUAGGGACAAUUGAGGCUCAGACCUGUAUUUAUGCUCAGGCAAAGAAAGUCCAGCAACGGCAUGGCUGCAAAUACCUCUAGUUGCAUGCAACAAUAUCACAUGCAACCUGGUCAUUGCCCCUCCAAGAUAGAGUCCGUACUGAAAGAUCAUCACCGCCUACAUAAGAGACUAUUUUGGACAUUCUCUCAUGAUAUGUAUGUCUGUAUGUAUGUUUGUGUGUGUAAGAUACAGACAAUAUACAUCUGCAUCAUGUACAAAAGGAGGCUCAGAUGUCAAUUUAAUCAAGCAUCGAAUCCACCAGAAACCACCAUGGCUGCUACCUCUUCAGGUUACCCAGCCAAGAAUACGGCUCUUAACAUCUCAACGCGCAAUUCAUAUUGCUCAAAAAAAGUAUCAUCAUCACAGCCAUAAAUUCUCCCUGUUCUUACAGUGAUAUCUUACUAUUUGGUUGAUAACACAAUAAAUCACCAUCAUGAACAAAAGAAAAGGAAGAAGAUGCAACAACAACAUGGAAUUUUCAAAAAUAACAUGGGUUUCCACUCGUGAAGACCUUAGGUUCAGAAUUCAGAAAGUCCAGAAAAACUAGCUCGAGAUUGAGGCUCAGACCUGCAAGAAAAUGGGGCAAAGAGAAGGGAACACCACCAGUGCUGCAAAAGAACCAGUUGCAUGUGACAGAGGAGGUCUCGAUCACAAACCAUCCACGUUUGCCCUGCCAAGAAAAUGGGUCGGAUGGUCUCCAUGCCCCUGAAUAUCAGCCAGUAUUAGCAAGAUCAUCACUGCCUAUUUUGAAAAAUGAAAACUUUUUCACAGUAGACUCUGGACAAUUCCACACAACUUUUGAUUAAUAAACGUUAAAAUCAUAGGAUGUUUGGUUUUAGCUCCUUGAAAUAAAAAACUAGUAGUGGUACGUUUGAAGAGGGUUGUUGGUUUGGUUGAUGGAAAAAUCAUAGACCAAGCAGAGGGGGCAACCACCCUCACAAGAAUUCCCUCUUCUUACUGUUGGCCUCAUUCUUCAUGCUGAGCUGAACAUCCAUUUUGUGAAGUAAAACACACACUCAUUCCCCCGGGAAAAUUCUCAUUGUUGUGCAGAAGACUUCUUUAGAGCUCAGACAUUGCUGUAUAUGAUCAUGCAAAGAGAAAGUGCCACAACAUGGCUGCAGACACCGGUUUACAGACAACGCCAUACCGGAUUGCCCCACCAAGAUACGGGUCAGAUUUUCUCAAAGCAGUAAACUAGAUGCCCAGAACGAAGCAAUCAUCAUCAUAGCCCAUUUUCAGGUGAUCUGCGACGACCAACGUAGAUAUGACACCAGGUAACCAUGUGGUCGCGACAGAAGCAAAGGAAGAACGUAGCCCCUUUUUACAGAGGAAUACACAAGGGGUGUUGGUUUAAUGAAUGGGAAAAUCAUGGACAUAACAGAGAGGGGCAACCACCCAUUACAGAAAAUCCCAUCUCUCUAACGUCUAAUUCUUCCUUUCUGGGCUUAACUGCCAGGAUUUUGCUAAACCCUCCAAACUACAAAAAAGGGCAACCCGGUGCAUUAAAGCCCCCACUGUGCGCAGGGCCAAGGGCCCCACCACAAGGGUGUACUGUACGCAUUCUUACCUUGCAUUUCUGCCAAAGGUUGUUUCCAAGGCUUGAACCCAUGACCUCCUUAUCACAUGGCAGCAACUUUACCAUUUACUCCAAGGCUACCCUUCAAACCCUCUAAACUACUGUUUCUGAUUUAAUAAUUAUGGACAUCCUCAGCAGGUUACCUGUUCGGUCUCUUUUUCGUUUCAAAUGUGUUUUAAGUUUUUGGAAGACAUUGAUCUCGGAGCCUUAGUUUAAGCUGAAGCAGAAGCAUCUAUGUCAGGCCAUAACGACCAAAAUCUCCCCCAAAAAAAAAAAAAAUUUGGAGUCUUCUGAAGUAAAACACACUGAUAUAUAAGAGAAAACUUAACCGAAGAGACCCCUUAAGUCUACAUUUAAGAGACUAAUCCUCCUAAUUUUAUGCUUUCAAUGCUAAUUUACCUGAAAAUGCAGCCAUGCAGGAGCAGGGUAGUCAUAGAUAGAUAUUUAGACAGACACAGACAUACAAUAUAUAUAUAUAUACACACACACACAUAUACAUGUGCAAAAGAGGCUGUUGAUUAGAGCAAAAAAGAAUCACUGGCAUGCCGGAGAUGGCCAACCACCCUGAAAAAUCCCAUUUUUCUCCAAUUGCCUCAUUUUUGAGCUAAAAGAGUUGGGGGAGAAAAGCAUCUGAAAUGGCGUGUUCAGGAAACAAGUGUAGAACCCAAUUGGGUUUUCCAGGUCCUGAGAAUGACCAUCCAAUUCAAGACCAUCAAAUGGUAGGCGUAAAACGUUUAGGGAUCAAACUUUCCUUUUCUAUGAACAUGCAAAGAGAAAGUGACCACACCAUGGCUGCAGACACCCGUUUGCAAAGAGAAAGUGACCACCCAGAAAAAUCCCAUUUUUACUCCGAUUACCUCAUUUUUUUAGCGAAAAUUUGAUAGAGCAACUGCAUGUAAAAUGGAGUGUUCAAGAAAAACUCAAGAACCCAACUUGGGUAUCUCACUUCCCAAGAAACCAACACAUGCCAUGGCUGCUGUACACCGGUUAGCAGGUCGCUCCGCAAAGAUAUGGGUCGAAUUUUGUCAACACAGUCGAAUCUUUUUCCUCCAGUUACAUCUACUUUAAGCUAAAAAAGGAUGGAAAAUUGGGUGUUCAACAAAAAAUUCAAGAACCCAACAUUGGGUUUUACCGUAAAAAUUUUUGAGGGCUCAGAUUUUGCUGUACUACAAACAUGCAAAAGAGAAACCAGCACACGCCAUGGCUGCAAGACACCAGUUUGCAAAUGGAUACCUUACCGGGUCGCCCCACCAAGAUACGGGUCGGAUCUUCUCAAUGCAGUGAAGUAGAUUAUUAGCCCAGAAAGAAACAAAUCAUCAUCACGGCCCAUUUUUCCUUAAUUCUUGAAAAAACAGCCAUCUUUAGGUAUACAUGUAUAUAGAUUUAUAAUAAAAAAGAGAUAGGCAUCCAGUACCAACUCGAACUAUCACCCUUUUUUGCACUGAUGUGGAACCUUUAUUACAUAAAAUGGGGCCCACGUCAAAGGUGUCAUGUCAGCUAAAAAGGUUGACAAAAAGUGUCACGUCCGCUAAAAAGGCCGACAAAAAAUAUGUUAAAUUUAGUUCGGGGGUAAUAGGGACCCCGUGAAGUUGGAGUGUGUCGUAGCAAAUUCGAUCAUAGUUCAGGGGGUAUUAGAUGCUUUACUCUAGAAAAAAUGGAAUUUCUGCAUCCAUGCUUCUUGAUUAUGCUUUUCGUUUUCAAAGGGCUGUUGAUUUUGUUUUUAAAAACAAAAAUGGAGAAGAAAUCAUGGACAUAUUGAGAGAUUGAGAGGGGCAACCACCCUUUACAGAAAAUCCCUUUUUCUCUCUCUCUAUGAUGUCUCAAUUCUUGCUUUCUGGGCUAAAGAGUGUUGACUGUUUCCAGCUAAACAGUAGUAAUAGAAUACAUAUAUACAUAUAUAGUUAGAGCUCAGACUUUGCUGUAUAUGAUCAUGCAAAGAGAAAGUGACACACCAUGGCUGCAGACACCGGUUUAAAGAUAACGCCAUACGAGGUCGCCCCACCAAGAUAUGGUCAGAAUUUCUCAAAGCAGCAAUCAUCAUCACAGCCUAUUUUCAGGUGAUCUGCGAUGAUCAACGAAGAUAUGACACCAGGUAUCUAAGUGGUCGCAGCUUUAGCAGAGAAAGGAAGAGCAUAGCCCUUUUUACAGAGGAAUACACAAGCGGUGUUGUUGAGAUGGUUCAUCAAUUAUCAUUUGCCUCUACUCUUUUGUCUUUUCUCAAAGGGUUGUUGGUUUUACGAAUUGGAAAAUCAUGGACAUAGCAGAGAGGGGCAACCACCCUUUACAGAAAACCCCAUCCCUCUAUCGUCUCAUUCUUCCUUUCCGGGCUUAACUGCGGGGAUUUUGCUAAACCCUCUAUGUUACUGUUUCUGCUUAAAUAAUUAUGGACAUCCUCAUCAGGUUACCUGUACGGUCUCUUUUUUGUUUCAAAUGUGUUUUAAGUUUUCGGAAGACAUUAAUCUCUGAGCCUUAGUUUAAGCUGGAAGCAGAAGCAUCUAUAACAUGCCAAUAAUAACCAAAAUUUAAAAAAAAAAAAAAAAAGAAGGAAAUCUUGUGAAGUAAAACACACUGAUUUGUAAGAGAAAAGUUAACCAAGGAGACCCCUAAGUCUACAUUUAAGAAACUAUUCCUCCCAAUUUUAUGCUUUCAAUGCUAAUUUGCCUGAAAAUGCAGCGAUGCAGGAGCAGGAUAGUGAUAGGUAGAUAUAGACGGACACAGACAUACAAUAUAUAUAUACACACACACAUACAUAUGUAAAAGAGGGCUGUUGAUUAGAGCAAAAAGAAAUCAUUGGCAUACCGGAGAUGGUCAACCGCCCUGAAAAAUCCCGAUUUUUCUCCAAUUGCCUUAUUUUUGAGCUAAAAAGUUGAUGGAAAACAGCAUCUGAAAUGGGGUGUUCAGGAAAAAGGUGUAGAACCCAAUUGGGUUUUCCAGGUCCUGAGAACAACCAUCCAAUUCAAGACCAUCAAAUGGUUGUGCAAAUCUUUUAGGGCUCAAAUUUUCCUUUUCUAUGAACAUGCAAAGAGAAAGUGACCAUGCCAUGGCUGCAGACACUGGUUUGCAAAUGAUGCCAUACCAGGUUGCCCCGCCAAAUUACGGAAAAGAUUUUAUCAACGCUGUGUAGUGGGGGGAAGUACACAGUCAGUCGUUGUUAGGACCCCUAUGUAAAGAUCAGUUGGAAGUUGAGGCUCAGAUCUGUGUAAAAUGCAGCAAAGAGAAGACGACAACGCCAUGGCUGCAAAAUGAACCGAUUGCAUGAUUCAAUUUCACCCUGCCAAGAUACGAGUCGGGUUUUCUCCAUGCCUCAAAUAUCAGCCCAGAUUAGCAACAUCGUCACUGUCUCUCGGAUACUGAAAACUUCUUCACUGUCAUUUUGGACAGUUUCGAGACACAAAAUGAAUGGAGGGAGUACUAUUGAUGUCAGCAUCACAUCAAUGGCAACAGAUAUUUGCCUUCUUUUUAGGACAAAACCAAAACCAAAACCAAACCAUGAACACCCCAAAAUAUACCAAAGAAAAAAAAAUGAAAACAGAGGUUGAUGGAGAAAUAUACCAAACAAGCCAUCCUGGUUUUCCAUGCCAACCUACAGGUCAGCAAUAUCAUCACUGCCUCUUCCGAAAAUGGGAACUUUUCCAUAAGAGCCUGUUCGGACAAUUUCAGCAAUGGGUGUCUAAUAGACACAGUUUGGCUCUACGUGUUCAAACCACCCUUAGUUGGAUGUCCAAAUGAAAGCUUUCAGCAAGUUUGAGGGACAAUCAAUGUAUUCAGUCCUAUCAAAAUGACUUGAGGCUCAGAUAAGUGAUUAACCCCGGCAAUGAGUUCUCUGACACUGCCAUGGCUGCAAACCCGAUAAUACGGGUUGCCCCGCCAAGAUACAGGUCUGAAACAACAGUGCCAGGUUCCAUAUUCUCAAUAACAAUCAAGCGUCAAAGCCCUAUCAUUAGAAAAUUAAUUAAUGGAAGAAAAUAUAGGUACUGUUGGGAGUUGACUUUACAGGUUGGGUGCUUGGAAGUGAAUCUUGCAGACCAAACAGUAUUGUAAUAUUAUUCUUCAAGUCCUGGGCCGUCCAGGUGGAUUAGUUGGAUAUUGAGGCUCAGAUCUGCAAAAAAUGGGGCAAAGAGAAGGCGACAGCACCAUGGCUGCAAAAGAACCAGUUGCAUGUAUAAGAGAAGACUCGAGCACAAGCCAUCCAGGUUUGCCAUGCCAAGAUACGGGUCAGAUUGCCUCCAUUCCCCAAAUAUCAGCCUAUAUUAGCAAUACCAUCACUGCUUCUUUCGGAAAAGAUGGAAACUUUUCCCUUAGAGCCCGUUUGAAUGACUUCAACAGGAAAAAUUAAUAAAACAAACAGAAGACCUUAGCUUAAAAUGAUAACCUUCAACAUCCAAUCACCAACAUUGAAGCUGAGGGCAAUAAACAGUUUCUUGUUUCCAGUUUUGCAGAGGGUUGUUGGAACGAUUAAAGGAGAAAUCAUUGGCCAAUCAGCGGAGACAACCACCCUCCAAAGAAAUUCCUUUUUUCUCACUGUUGGCCUCAUUAUUCACACAGGGCUGAGCUUCCAUUACUCAUCCGGACUUUCCCUGUCAGGAUACAAAACUAAACCGAACUAUGUACACCCCAUACCAUACCAUACCAAGGGAAACCACCUUCCAAACAAAGUGUAAAUAUACCAAUGAAAAAAAAGCUUAUUGGUUGGCUUCAUUUUUCCUUUUGGGCUCAGAUAUUUAAUUUGUAUGAGGCAUUGAGUUAUUAGAAACCGCCAUGGCUACAAACCCUAUAACUUGGGUCGCCCUGCCAAGAUACGGGCCUGAAUCAACAAUACCUGAUUUCAUUUGCUCAGUAAAAGUAUCAUCACAGCCUCGUUAUUAUCCUUUUCAAUUUCAUUGUUGUAUGCUUUUGCUGUUGCUUUUUCAGGAAAACAUAGCUUCAGAGGAAGAGAGUGACAGUAGCAGAAGCAAAGAGAGAAUGAUCCAAAAAGGUCCUAAACAUUACUUAGAGCUAAAAGAUACUAGAAAUCAUAGGCGUGAUGAAAAUGGUCAACAACCCGGAAAAUCCAGAUAACUUCCCAUUUUUUGUCCAACUGCCUCAUUCUUUUAGCUAAAAUUUGGCGGAGAACACCAUCAGGUGUUCAAGAAAAAGUGAACAACCUAAAUGGUGUUCACCAAACCACAGGUCCUGGGUUAGUAUCCUGAACUGUCCAGAAGGACUAGUUGGAAAUCGAGGCUCAGAUCUGCAGCAAAUGGGGAAAAGAGAAUGUGACAACGCCAUGGCUGCAAAGGAACCGGUAGCAUGUGAAAGAGAAGACUCAAUCACAAACAAUCCGGAUUUGCCAUGCCAAGAUAAGGGUCAGAUUGUCUCCACGCCCAAACAUCAGCCCAGAUUAGCAAUAUCAUCAUAGCCUCGUGUGAAAGAUGGGAACAUUCCCACAAGUAGGCAUUUGGACAACAGAGUAAAUUUUAACAAACAUAAGUGCACAUUUCAUGAGCAGGGGGUCUACUUGAAACUACCUCUCUACCCAGCAAUGUAAGAGAGACAGAAAGAGACGUGCAAUAUUACACACGCAGAAAGACCAUACAUAUGCUAAGAGGGCAUUAUUAGAGCUAACAAAAAUCACUGAGAGAUGGUCAACCACCCUGAAAAAUCCCCGUUUUUCUCCAUUUACCACAUUUUUGGAGCUAAAAAUUGAUGAAGACUGCAUCUGAAAUUUGGUGUUCAAGAAAACAGAAACAAUAAUUGGGUUUUCCAGUUCCACUGAAGACCCAUUAAACUUUUGGGGCUCAGAUUCUGCAGUAUAUCAACAUGAACGAGAAAGCAACACAAGCCAUGGCUGCAUACACCGGUUUGCAGAUGGAUGCCCGACCAGGUUGCCCUGCCAAGAUACAGGUUGGACCUUUAUUACAUACAACAGGGCCCAUGUCAAAGGUGCCAUGUUAGCUAAAAAGGAUGACAAAAUACGCCAAAAUUUAGUUGGGGGGGUAAUAGGACCCCCAUGAAGUUGAAGCAUUUCACUUCAUACCAAAGACACCCUAAAUAGCACUACAAUACUCCACUACGUGGCUCCUAAGCUGGGGAUUUAUUAUUUGUUUAUUGAUUAGUCCACAAAGUAUCAGUUGCAGGCAGCUAAUAUAUAUAAAAAAAAAAUUGAUUGGUACAGAAAAUUGGCCAAGUUCUUUCUUUAAUAUAUCAAUGAGGUAUAUCUCUAAAUAAUUUCAUAAAUGAGCUCUGAGAAAAGUCAAAGUAUAUGCAGAUAUUGUCUAUAAUCAUCUUUUAAUAACUUUUGAGGGCUCAGAUUAUGCUGUACUACAAACAUGCAAAAGAGAAACCAAACCAACACAGGCUGCAAGACACCAGUUUGCAAAUGGAUACCUUACCGGGUCGCCCCGCCAAGAUACGGGUUGGAUCUUCUCAAUGCAGUGAAGUAGAUAAUUAGCCCAGAAAGAAACAAAUCAUCAUGACGGACCAUUUUUCCGAAUUCUUGAAAAAACAGCUAUCUUUAUAUAUACAUGUAUAUAGAUUUAUAAUAAAAAAAAGAGAUAACCAUCCAGUACAAACUCGAACUAUCGCCCUUUUGCACUGACAUGGCACCUGUAUUACAUAAAAUGGGGCCCACAUCAAAGGUGUCAUGUCAGCUAAAAAGGUUGACAAAAAGUGUCACAUUAGCUAAAAAGGUUGACAAAAAAUAUGUUAAAUUUAGUACAAAGGGGUAAUAGGACCCCGUGAAGUUGGAGUGUGUCAUAGCAAAUUUGGUCAGUACAUGGGGUACUUAGAUGCUUUUCUCUAAAAAAAAAUGGAAUUUCUGCAUGCAUGCUUGUUGAUUAUGCUUUUCUUUUUCAAAGGGCUAUUGUUUUUUUUAAAAAAAAAAAAGAAUUUAUGAAUGGAGAAGAAAUCAUGGACAUAUUGAGAGAUUGAGAGGGGCAACCACCCUUUACAGAAAAUCCCCUUUUUUCUCUCUCUUCGAUGUUUCAAUUCUUGCUUUCUGGGCUAAAGAGUGGUGAGUGUUUCCAGGUAAACAGUAGUAAUAGAAUAUAUAUAUAGUUACCAACAUGGGUUGUGGUGCUGCGGAUGGGGCUGCUCCACCCUUAACCAGAGGUCGAGGGUUCGACCCUGGGCAUGGAGAAAACUCUGUUGGGAGCGCUACCCACGACUGGGGCCCUACCCGGCGCGAAUCCAGAUUAGUCGGGCUCCAAUGCGGGUACCAGACACCGGAUGGGAAACCAAAGAAAAAAAAAAAAAGAAAAAGAAUAUAUAUAGUUAGAGCUCAGACUUUGUUGUAUAUGAUCAUGCAAAGAGAAAGCGACACACCAUGGCUGCAGACACCGGUUUAAAGACAACGCCAUACCAGGUCGCCCCACCAAGAUAUGGGUCAGAUUUUCUCCAAGCAGUAAACUAGAUAGCACAGAAAGAAGCAAUCAUCAUCACAGCCCAUUUUCAGGUGAUCUGCGAUGAUCAACGAAGAUAUGACACCAGGUAUCUAAGUGGUCGCAGCAGAUGCAGAGAAAGGAAGAGCAUAGCCUUUUUUUCGGAGGAAUACACAAGCGGUGUUGUUGAGAUGGUUUAUCAAUUAUCAUUUGCCUCUACUCUUUUGUCUUUUCUCAAAGGGUUGUUAGUUUUACGAAUGGGAAAAUCAUGGACAUAACAGAGAGGGGCAACCACCCUUUACUGAAGCAGAGAGGCUGUGUCCGAUAGACCCCCGGCUUAGAACGAUAACAGUAUAACAAACCCAAAAGAUAAGUGCAUAUAAAGUAGUAUGGCAUGCAAAAUAAACUAACACCGCUAGCCACAAGAUUGGGUUUUACAGUAAAAACUUUUGAGGGCUCAGAUUUUUCUGUGCUACAAACAUGCAGAACAGAAACCAAACCAACACACGCCAUGGCUGCAAGACACCAGUUUGCAAAUGGAUACCUUAUCGGGUCGCCCCGCCAAGAUACGGGUCGGAUCUUCUCAAUGCAGUGAAGAAGAUUAUUAGCCCAGAAAGAAACAAAUCAUCAUCACAGCCCAUUUUUGCUAAUUCUUGAAAAAACAACAACAAAAAACCCAGUAUAUUCCCACAUAGUGGGGUCUUGAAAAAACAGCCAUCUUUAUAUAUACAUGUAUAUAAAUUUAGAAUAAAAAAACAAAAAAAGAGAUAAGCAUCAAGUACAAACUCGAACUAUCACCCUUUUUACUGACGUGGCACCUUUAUUACAUAAAAUGGGGCCUACGUCAAGGUGUCAUGUCAGCUAAAAAAGUUGACAAAAAGUGUCAAGUCAGAUAAAAAGGCCGACAAAAAUUACGUUAAAUUUAAUUCAGGGGGUUGAUAAUACCACCAUGAAGUUGGAGUGUGUCGUAGCAAAUUUGGUCAUAGUUUAGUGGGUCUUAGAUGCUUUACUCUAAGAAAAAUGGAAUUUCUGCAUCCAUGCUUCUUGAUUAUGCUUUUCUUUUUCAAAGGGCUGUUGAUUUUGUUUUUUAAAAAAAAUAAUUUAUGAAUGGAGAAGAAGUCAUGGACAUAUUGAGAGAUUGAGAGGGGCAACCACCCUAUACAGAAAAUCCCUUUUUUUCUCUCUCUCCGAUGUCUCAAUUCUUGCUUUCUGGGCUAAAGAGUGGUGAGUGUUUCCAGCUAACAGUCGUAAUAGAAUAUAUAUAUAGCUCAGACUUUGCUGUAUAUGAUCAUGCUAAGAGAAAGUGACACACCAUGGCUGCAGACACCGGUUUAAAGACAACGCCAUACCGGGUCGCCCCACCAAGAUAAAAAAAAAAAAUUCUCAAAGCAGUAAACUAGAUAUGACACCAGGUAUCUAAGUGGUCGCAAAAGAAGCAGAGAAAGGAAGAGAGUAGCCCGCCCCUUUUUACAGAGGAAUACUCGAGGGGUGUUGUUGAGAUGGUUUAUCAAUUAUCUAUGUUGCUUGGAUUCUUCAAAAAUGUCAUCGGCUGCCUGUCGGAUCCUCAAAAGUAGUGCAUUUUGGAGAAUCCGACACGGGAGCGGCAACAUUUAGGAGAGUCCGAGCAACUUAGCUGACAUUUUCCCCUACUUGUUUUGCUUUUGUCAAAGGGUUGUUGGUUUUACAAAUGGGAAAAUCAUGGACAUGCAGAAAGGGGCAACCACCCUUUACAGAAAACCCCAUCCCUCUAAUAUCUCAUUCUUCCUUUCCGGGCUUAACUAUAGGGAUUUUGCUAAACCCUCUAUGUUACUGUUUCUUCUUAAAUAAUUACGGACAUCCUCAGCAGGUUACCUGUACGGUCUCUUUUUUGUUUCAAAUGUGUUUUAAGUUUUUGGAAGACAUUAAUCUCUGAGCCUUAGUUUAAGCUGAAGCAGAAGCAUCUAUAACAUGCCAAUAAUAAUCAAAAUUUCAAAAAAAAAAAAAAGGAAAUCUUGUGAAGUAAAACACACUGAUUUAUAAGAGAAAAGUUAACCGAAGAGACCCCCAAGUCUACAUUUAAGAAACUACUCCUCCCAAUUUUAUGCUUUCUGUUAUAAAUCGGACAGAAUAAAGCAAACCACAAGCAGAAAGAAAAACAACAACACACAGAUUUACGUUGAAAUCCUUGCGGGAAAAACCACGGGCAGAGGCAGAGGAUUUCACUAUAAUGGAGAAGAGUACAAUGGGAAGACUAUGUCUCAAUUUCAUGUAUUUUUCUGAAUGACUCAAAACAGCCCACUAAAUCGCUCUAAUAUAAUAUGUGCGUACAAAUAAGUCCUAGAUCGGCCCGAUCCCUACGCUCCCACCACUGACCCCAUUGAAAAUCACAAACAUGGGUCACACCGUGAGACUUUCAGGCCCGGAACAACAAAAUUCGGGUCACAACUCUCAUACUUUCAAUGCUAAUUUGCCUGAAAAUGCAGCGAUGCAGGAGCAGGGUAGUGAUAGGUAGAUAUAGACAGACACAGACAUACAAUAUAUAUACACACACACAUACAUAUGUAAAAGAGGGCUGUUGAUUAAAGCAAAAAAGAAAUCAUUGGCAUCCCAGAGAUGGUCAACCACACUGAAAUAUCCCCAUUUUCUCCAAUUGCCUCAUUUUUGAGCUAAAAAGUUGAUGGAGAACAGCAUCUAAAAUGGGGUAUUCAGGAAAAUAGUGUAGAACCCAAUUGGAUUUUCCACGUCCUGAGAACGACCAUCCAAUUCAAAACCAUCAAAUGGUUGGCAUAAAACUUUUAGGGCCCAAAUUUUGCUUUUCUAAGAACAUGCAAAAAGAAAGUGACCAUGCCAUGGCCGCAGACACCGGUUUAAAGACAACACCAUACCAGGUCGCCCCACCAAGAUAUGGUCAGAUUUUCUCAAAGCAGCCCAGAAAGAAGAAAUCAUCAUCACAGCCUAUUUUCAGGUGAUCUGCAACGAUCAACGUAGACACCAGGUAUCUAAGUGGUCACAGCAGAAGCAGAGAAAGGAAGAGCGUAGCCCUUUUUACAGAGGAAUACACAGGCGGUGUUGUUGAGAUGGUUCAUCAAUUAUCAUUUGCCUCUACUCUUUUGUCUUUUCUAAAAGGGUUAGUUUUACGAAUGGGAAAAUCAUGGACAUAGCAGAGAGGGCCAUACCAGGUUGACAUGACAAAUUACUGAUCGGAUUUUAUCAACGCUGUGAAGUGGGAGAAGUACACAAUCAUUGUUAGGACCCCUAUAUAAAGAUCAGUUGGAAGUUGAGGCUCAGAUCUGUGUAAAAUGCAGCAAAGAGAAGACGACAACGCCAUGGCUGCAAAAUGAACCAAUUGCAUGAUUCAAUUUCACCCCGCCAAGAUAUGAGUCGGGUUUUCUCCAUGCCUCAAAUAUCAGCCCAGAUUAGCAAUAUCAUCACUUCCUCUCGGAUAAUGAAAACUUCUGCACUGCAUUUGUGGACAGUUUCGAGACAAAAAAUGAACGGAGGGAGUACUAUUGAUAUCAGCAUCACAUCAAUGGCAACAGAUAUUUGCCUUCUUUUUAGGACAAAACCAAAACCAAAACCAAAACCAAACCAUGAACACCCCAAAAUAUACCAAAGAAAAGAAAUGAAAACAGAGGUUGAUGGAGAAAUAUACCAAACAAGCCAUCCUGGUUAUCCUUGCCAAGCUACCGGUCAGCAAUAUCAUCAUUGCCUCUUCCAAAAAAUGGGAACUUUUCCAUAAGAGCCUGUUCGGACAAUUUCAGCAAUGUGUGUCUAAUAGACACAGUUUGGCUCUACGUGUUCAAACCACCCUUAGUUGGACGUCCAAAUGAAAGCUUUCAGAAAGUUUGAGGGACCGUCAAUGUAUUCAGUCAUAUCAAAAAAACUUGAGGCUCGGAUAAGUGAUUAACCCCGGCAAUGAGUUCUCUGACACUGCCAUGGCUGCAAACCCAAUAAUACGGGUUGACCCGCCAAGAUACAGGUCAGAAACAUCAGUGCCAGGUUCCAUAUUCUCAAUAACAAUCAACCGUCACAGCCCUAUCAUUAGAAAAUUGAUUAACAGAAGAAAACAUAGGUACUAUUGGGAGUUGACUUUACAGGUUGGGUGCUUGGAAGUGAAUCUUGCAGACCAAACAGUACUGUAAUAUUAUUUUUCAAGUCCUGGGACGUCCAGUUGGAUUAGUUGGAUAUUGAGGCUCAGAUCUGCAAAAAAUGGGGCAAAGAGAAGGCGACAGCUCCAUGGCUGCAAAAGAACCAGUUGCAUGUGAAAGAGAAGACUUAAGCACAAGCCAUCCAGGUUUGCCAUGCCAAGAUACGGGUCAGAUUGCCUCCCUUCCCCAAACAGCAGCCCAUAUUAGCAAUAUCAUCACUGCCUUUUUCGGAAAACAUGGAAACUUUUUCAGUAGAGCCGUUUGUACGACUUUAACAGGAAAAAUUAAUUAAAAAAAAUGAGACCUUAGCUUAGAAUAAUCAGAAAAUUGAAUAGAACUACUACCUUCAACAUCAAAUAGCCAACAUUGAAGCUGAUGGCAACAAACAUUGUUUCUAGUUUCCAGUUUGGCAGAGGGUUGUUGGAGAGGUUAAAGGAGAAAUCAUUAGCCAAUCAGCAGAGGCAACCACCCUCCAAAGAAAUUCCCUUUUUCUCCCUGUUGGCCUCAUUAUUCACACUGGGCUGAGCUUCCAUUACUCAUCCGGAUUUUCCCCGUCAGGAUACAAAACUAAACCGAAAUAUGUACACCCCAUACCAUACCAUGGGAAACCACCAUCCAAACAAAGUGUAAAUAUACCAAUGAAAAAAAAAAGGUUAUUGGUUGACUUCAUUCUUCCUUCUGGGCUCAGAUCUUUAAUUUAUCUGAGGCAUUGAGUUAUUAGAAACCGCCAUGGUUGCAAACCCUAUAACUUGGGUCGCCCUGCCAAGUUACGGGCCUGAAUCAACGAUACCCGAUUUCAUUUGCUCAGUAAAAGUAUCAUCACAGCCCCGUUAUUAUCCUUUUCAAUUUCAUUGUUGUAUGCUUUUGCUGUUGCUUUUUCAGGAAAACAUAGCCUCUGAGGAAGAGAGUAUGACAGUAACAGAUGCAAAGAGAAAAUGAUCAAAAAUGGUCCUUAACAUUACUUAGAGCUAAAAGAUACUAGAAAUCAUAGGCGUGAUGGAAAUGGUCAGCCACCCGGAAAAUCCAGAUAACUUCCCAUUUUUUCUCCAACUGACUCAUUCUUUUUACCUAAAAUUUGACGGAGAACACCAUCAGGUGUUCAAGAAAAAGUGAACAACCAAAAUGGUGUUCACCAAACUACAGGUCCUGGGUUCGUAUCCUGAACUGUCCAGAAGGACUAGUUGGAAAUCGAGGCUCAGAUCUGCAGCAAAUGGGAGAAAGAGAACGUGACAAUGCCAUGGCUGCAAAGGAAUCGGUAGCACGUGAAAGAGAAGACUCAAUCACAAACCAUCCGGGUGUGCCAUGCCAAGAUACGGGUCAGAUUGUCUCCACGCCAAACAUCAGCCCAGAUUAGCAAUAUCAUCAUAGCCUCUUGUGAAAGAUGGGAACAUUCCCACAAGUAGGCGUUUGGACAACUCGGAGCAAAUUUUAAAAACCAUAAGAACACUUUUUCAUGAGCCAGGAGUCUGUUGGAAACAACCUCUCUACCCUGCAAAGGUAAGAGAGACAGAAAGAGACAUGCAAUAUAUACACACACAGAGACCAUACAUAUGCUAAGAGGGCAUUAUUGGGUUUUCCAGUUCCAUUGAAGACCCGUUAAACUUUUGGGGCUCAGAUUCUGCAGUAUAUCAACAUGAAAGAGAAAGCAACACAAGCCAUGGCUGCGGACACCGGUUUGCAGAUGGAUGCCCUACCAGGUUGCCCCGCCAAGAUACAGGUUGGAUUUUAGGAAAGAUAUCAGUUUUCACAGGGUCCUAUUACCUCCCUGAAUUCAGUUUUGGCGUAUUUUUAUCACCCUUUUGUUCUGACAUGGCACCUUUAUUACAUAAAAUGGGGCCAUGUCAAAGGUGUUAACGUCAGCUAAAUAGGUUGACAAAAGGUGCCACGUCAGCUUAAAAAAAAUGACAAAAAUAAGCUAAAAUUUAGUUCAAGGGGGUAAUAGGACCCUCGUGAAGUUGGAGUGUGUCGUAGCAAAUUCGGUCAAGUUCAGGGGGCACUAGAUGCUUUACUCUAAGCAUUUCCCUUCUUACCAAAGACACCCUUAAUAGCACUGCGAUACAUUAGGUAACAACCAUCCAAAAUGAGCAAUGAAGCUCAGAUCAGUUGAUAAAACAAGAGAAUGAAGACACAGCCAUGGCUGCAAACCUUGGGCUGCGUUCCAGGUCGCGCUGCCAAGAUACAGGUCUCUUAAUUUCUCUGGUCAAGUAUCACUGAAGCCUCAGAAUCUAUCUCUCUCUCUCUCUCUCUCUCGCUUUCUUCAUGCGAUCAAGUUAGUUCAAAUCCAUAACAUAAGGGACAAUGUGAUUCAGCAAUUUCAACAGGGUGCGAAUAAUUUUCCCCGGAGAUUUAAAGGGUUGUUUGAUUUAUUUAUUUUUUUCAUUUUCCUUCCAUAUGAGAAAUCACUAGAGUUGCAGAUAGGGGCAACCACCCUUAAAGAGAAUGCCACCACGCCAUGGCUGCAAAAUCACCAGUUGCAUGCAAAAGAACGAGCCUCAGCUGCAGUUGCAGGCCAUCCUGGAAUUUGCAAGGCCAAGAUACGGGUCGGACUGUCUUCAAUGCCCCAUUUUUGUUAACCCAGCAAGUGCUAUUAUUAUCAUCGCUAGCUCAAAAAAGGUCAUUAGUGCAAAUUCCCCAAGAAUACACAUAUAUAUGGAUUGAUCAUCUUCUGCUUCGGAAUAUUGCAAGAACAAGGGUUGUUGGUAUUGUAGCUACAGAAAAUCAUUGGCACGACAGAGAGGAGCAACCACCCUUAGAAGAAAAUCCUUUCUCUCCAUUAACCUCAUUCUUCUCUUUUAGGGAUAUUUGGCUCUCGGAUGAAAACUUCACCACUUUUCUCUCCUCGUAGGGAUCCACUGGUAACUAAGUGCUGAUUUCAUCAUGAAAAAAAAAGUAUAAAUAACAUAAAUGCCAACCCUUUUGGAAGUAAUUACGCUCCCUCCCACUUUUAAAAUUACUCUACUCUCUCUUGCUAUUAAUAUACAUAACAUAGCCGACAUAUAACAUAGCCGACAUAUACAUAGCAUUCUGUGCAUAUGUGGGGAUUUUUGUAAUAUGUAUAGGGAGUUGGGAUUUUUGUAAUAUUGGAAACAUUGGUGUAUUUGUGUAAUUUUUAGAAAAAAAAAUUCCAUCGUACCAAAGACACCUUAAGAGUAAAGUUGACGCUCAGAUCUGUUCAUAAGACAAGAGAAUGAAGGCGAUGCCAUGGCUGCAAACACUGGUUGCAUGACACAAUAAUUAGUCAUCCCGAUUGCCCCGCCAAGAUACAAGUCACUUUAUUUUCUUGUCCUGUUGAGUUGCUCCCAAAAAGAAGGGAAAAGAAUAUCAGCAUAGCCUCAUAUUCUCUAUCUAUCUAUCUAUCUAUAUCUAUAGCUAUAUAUCACCAACAUGCACUGAAAAGGCAAAGUGCUUUUCAUUUAAAUGCAAACUUUCUGGGUCUCUUCCGUUAAAUCCUUCCUGAUAUCAUGGGCUUAUAUCUAAGAAGCAGAUAAAGUAACCAUUUUCUUGUGAUAGUGCAUAACAUAAAAUUGCAUAUUUUGCCCUUUAGCAAUCGAACGUAUGCCUAGUAGGGCAUAAGUUCUUUGGAAACAAAAGUCAUGUUAGCAAAACUUGUCCGAUAUUAUGGUAAGAAAAUAUAAACGUGCCCUGGGAUUUUAUUUAUUUAUUUAUUUAUUGGUUACGAGAGGCAUAAAUUGAAGACCAGCACAAAAUAAGGCAAAAGUGCAAAAAUGUAAGCACACGAGGUCCACAAGUUCGAUUUUCAGAAAUUUGAGGCUCGGAAUUUAGCAUUUUUGCUCAGACAAAGAGAAGACAACCACACCAUGGCUGCAAAAUCACCAGUUGCAUGCAAAAAUGUGAGCCUCAGUUGCAGGCCAUCCUGGGAUUUGCCAAGCCUAGUUACGGGUAGGAUUAUCCUCGAUGCCCGAUUUUGUUAGCCCAGAAUGUAAAACAUUGUCAUCAUCACAGCCUCUUUUGCACAAUUACUUUAAAGGGGGAGAAAGCAACACAAACACACUGAGAUCUAGCUGUUGUUUCCCUGAGUAUUUCAUUAGCAAGGGUUGUUGCUAUAGUUGUUAAAAUGAAAAUCAUUGGCACAACAGAGAGGGGCAACCACCCUUAACAAAAAGUCCCUACACUCUAUUAACCUCAUUUUUCUUCCGGGGACAACUUCCUUUAGGAAAAUUCCUCGUUAAAAUUUCCCAACUUUCUUCUUUUCAGAGGGCUACAUUAGAAACCAAACAUGGAUGAAAUUCAUCAUAAAAGCAUUUCCUUUUGUACCAAAUAAACCCUUGUGGAAUAACAAUACAGCACAAUAAGUAACAACCAUCCAUAAAGGCUACAAGAGUAAAAUUGAAGUUCUCAUCUGUUGAUAAAACAAGAGAAUGAAGACAUCGCCAUGGCUGCAAACCUCGGAUUGCGUCCGGGUCGCCCAGCCAAGAUACGGGUCUCUUAAUUUCUCUUGUCAAGUAUCAUUGAAGCCUCUAUCUAUCCAUCUCUCUUCUCUUUGUGAGACUAAUUUGUUUCAACUCCAUAUCAUGAAGGACCAUUUGAUUCAAAAAUCUCAAUAGGGUGUUGAUAAGUUUUCCCUGAGAUUUAUAGGGUUGUUUGAAUUUUUUUCAUUUUCUUUUCAUAUGAAAAAUCACUGGAGUUGCAGAUAGGGGCAACCACCCUUCAGAAAUCCCUCCUAACAUUAACGACUCCUUUCCUAACCAAACGACCCCUUAAACAGAAUAUCAUUGCCACCACGCCAUGGCUGCAAAAUCACUGAUUGCAUGCAAAAGACAGAGCCUCAGUUGCAGGCCAUCCUGGGAUUUGCCAGGCCAAGAUACGGGUUGGAUUGUCCCAUUUGUUAACCCAGAAAGUGCCAUUGUUAUCAUUAGUACCUCAAAAAAAGGUCACUAGUGGAAGACACCUUAAAAGUAAGUAGAGGCUAAAAUGUUGAUAAGACAAGAGAAUGAAGGUGAUGAUCAUGGCUGCAAACACCGUUGGCAUGACACAAAAUACCAGCCGUCCGCAUUGCCCCGCCAAGAUGCUGUCCCUUUAUUUUCUUGACCUAUUGAGUUGCUCAAAAAAUGACAACAGCAACAACAACAAACCCAGUGUAUUCCCACAUAGUGGAGUCUGGGGAGGGUAAGGUGGACGCAGUCCAUACCACUACUUCCGGAGAAGUAGCAAGGCUGUUUCUGAUAGACCCUCGGCUCAAGACAAAGAAUAUUAAUCAAAUCCGCAAAAAAGCACGUAACAAGAUGAUAAGACAUAAAUACACCACCAACAAGGAAUAGCAACCAAAGAAUAGUACACCAUCGCAAUAUAGCAUGCAACAAGGUAGCAUACCAAGAAUAAUACACCCACCAAGCUACGCCCUACCCUACCGACCCAAACUGACACUAGCCUUCUAUCCUAAUACGCAACCUCCAUAACUUCCUAGCUAGGGUCAUGUCCUCAGUGAGCUGUAACUACUCCACCUCAUAGCCUCAUAAUCUCUAUCUAUAUAUCUAUCUAUCAACAAUAUUCACUGAAAGAGCAAAGUGCUUUUGGUUUAAAUGCUGACAUAUGAGGAAUUGAGCUCUCCUGGUCACUUAAAAAAUGAACAGCAGAAAUUUGAGGCUCAGAUACUGCAUUUUGGCUCGGACAAAGAGAAAGCAACCUCGCCAUGGCUGCAAAAUCACCAGUUGCAUGCAAAAGAGUGAGCCUCAGUUUGCAGGCCAUCCUGGGAUUUGCCAAGCCAAGAUACGGGUAGGACUAUCCUCAAUGCCCGAUUUUGUUAGCCCACUAAGUAAAACAUCGUCAUCAUCACAGCCUCUUUUGCACAAUUAAACCCAAAGGAGGAAAACACAACAUACACACACACACUAAGUUGGUGUUUGUCUGAGGAGUUCAUCAACAAGGGUUGUUGCUUUAGUUUCUAUUAAGACAAUCAUGGGCAUAAUAGAGAGGAGCAACCACCCUUAACAAAAAAUCCUUCUCUCUAUUAACCUCAUGAUACCAUAUCUCAUGUCCAAACAGGCCAUUAGUUUCACCAGAAAAUUAAACUUUCUUCUUCUCAAAUGGAAGUGGAACUCCUCAUAAAAAAGAAAACAUUUUCCGUCAUACCAAACACACCCUUUCAAGAUAACAACACAACACAAGACAAGCUACAAGAGUAAAAUUGAAGCUUGAAUCGGUUGAUAAAACAAGAGAAUAUAGACAUCACCAUGGCUGCUAACCUCGGUUGGAUUCCGGGUCGUCCCGCCAAGAUACAGGUCUUUGAAUUCCCUUGCCAAGUACUAAUUGCAGCCUCCAAAUUCUCUUUCUCUCUCUAUAUAUAUAUCUUUGUGACUUGUGAGCUGAAUAUGGCUCAACUCCAUAACGUAAAGGACCAUUUGGUUAUAAAUUCUCAAGGGCUGUUUGAUUUUUUUCCUUUUUUCCAAAUGAAAGAUCAUCGGUGUCAUAGAGAGGGACAACCACCCUGAGAAAAAUCCCUUCUCUCUAUUAACCUCAUUUCUCUUUCUGGGCUUAACUUUUUUAGGAAAAGUCUUGAAGUUUUCACCAGAAAAUUUCUCAACUUUCUUCUUAUCAAAGGUCAACAUUAGUAACCAAACACUGAUGAAACUCAUCAUCAUAGAAAAGAAAGAGCAUUUUCCUUCAUACCAAACACAUCCUUCUACAUGAAUAAUACAACAUACAGACUGAAUAGUUGUUUCUCUGAGUAUUUCAUUAACAAGGGCUGUUGCUUGUAGUUGCGAAAAACAAAAUCAUUGGCACAACAGAGAGCGGCAACCACCCUUGACAAAAAUCCUUCUCUCUAUUCACCUCCUUUUUCUUCCUCGGCUAACUUCCUUUAGGAAAGUUCUCCGUUUUAAUCAGAAAAUUUCCCAACUUUCUUCUUUUCGGAGGGCUACAUUAGUAACCAAACACUGAUGAAAUUCAUCAUAAGAAAAUAUUUUUCCUCACACCAAAGAAACCUUUUAGAAUAACAAUACAACACAGACUAAAAAGUUGUUUGUCUGAGUAUUUCACAAACAAGGGCUGUUGCUUCUAGUUGCUAAAAAAAAAAAAAUCAUAGGCACAACAGAGAGGGGCAACCACCCUUAACAAAAAUCCUUCCAUAAUUGAAACUAUUUAUACAAGGUAUUUAUUUCAAGUUAUUUGUAUUUUCUAAACGGUCACUCAUCUAAUAGUUAUUAAAUUAGAAACCUGAGUAAUUAAGGGAAAUUAACCUUUCAAAGGUAGAAAUAUGGGAAGAAGCAACUGAUCACUGCAAUAAUAUAGAACAUGAAAAAACAUAAAUAUGAGUCUAUGGAAAAAAGAUAUAGUAGCAAGUAAUCAAGAUAAAAAUCAAUAGAAAUAUGUCAUACCUGAUCUGAGUGACUAAAAUGGUAUUAAAUUUUAUAUAGAUAAAAAUGUUUUGGCUUCUGAUGAAUUGGGAUGAUAACUUCAAUUAUUGUUGAAUGAGGGGAAAGUCCAUUUAUCUAUUUAAAUGGAACAACCCAUCAGUUAUAUUUUAAAAAGGAGUAAAGCAUCUAGUACCCUAAACUAUGAUCAAAUUUGCUACGACACUCUAAUUUUACGGGGCUCCUAUUACCCCUCAACUAAAUUUUAGCAUAUUUUUGUUAACCUUUAUACUGGCGUGACACCUUUGACGUGAACCCCAUUUUUAUGUAAUAAAUAUGCCACGUCAGCACAAAAGGAUAACAAAAAUACGCUAAAAUUGAAUUCAGAAGUAAUAGGACCGCUGCGAAGUUGGAAUGUAUCGCAGCAACUUUGGUCAUAAUUAGAGGGGUACUACAUACUUCUCUUUUAAAAAUAAAGUUAAAGAUGAUUAUAUUGUGUUUCAAUUGUCUAUCAUACUAUUUUUGUUGUCAUGUACAUUUUAUGAAUGCUAUGUCAUGCUUUUUAAUUAGUUCUCCUUUUUUAUUUAUUUUUAUAACUAAUUUGAUUUACUGCAUUUAAGCGAGGUUCCUUCGAAAACGAUCUCGUCUUAACUACGAGGAUUUUGCCAAACCCUCUAAACUACCGUUUCUGAUUUAAUAAUUAUGGACAUCCUCAGCAGGCUACCGGUGCGGUCUCUUUUUCGUUUCAAAUGUGUUCUAAGUUUUUGGAAGACAUUGAUCUCUGAGCCUUAUGUUAAGCUGAAGCAGAAGCAUCUGUAUCAUGCCAUAACCACCAAAACAAAAAAAAGGAGUCUUGUGAAGUAAAUCGCACUGAUUUAACCAAAGAGACCCCUUAAGUCUACAUUUAAGAGACUAAUCCUCCUAAUUUUAGGCUUUCAAUGCUAAUUUGCCUGAAAAUGCAGCCAUGCAAGAGCAGGGUAGUGAUAGAUAUUUAGACAGACACAGACAAACAAUAUAUAUAUGUAUAUAUAUAUACACACACACACACACAUACAUGUGUAAAAGAGGCUGUUGAUUAGAGCAAAGAAGAAAUCAUUGGCAUGCCUGAAAUGGUCAACCACCCUGAAAAAUCCCAUUUUUCUCCAAUUGCCUCAUUUUGAGCUAAGAGUUGAUGGAGAAGAGCAUCUGAAAUGGCGUAUUCAGGAAACAAGUGCAGAACCCAAAUGGCGUAUUCAGGCAACCACCCUUUACAGAAAAUCCCCUUUUUUUCUCUCUCUGAUGUCUCAAUUCUUGCUUUCUGGGCUAAAGAGUGGUGAGUGUUAGAGCUCAGACUUUGCUGUAUAUGAUCAUAUGCAAAGAGAAAGUGACACACCAUGGCUGCAGACACCGGUUUAAAGACAACGCCAUACCGGGGCGCCCCACCAAGAUAUGGUCAGAUUUUCUCAAAGCAGUAAACUAGAUAGCCAGAAAGAAGCAAUCAUCAUCACAGCCCAUUUCCAGGUGAUCUGCAACGAUCAACGAAGAUAUGACACCAGGUAUCUAAGUGGUCGCAGCAGAAGCAGAGAAAGGAAGAGUGUAGCCCUUUUAACAGAGGAAUACACAAAUGGUGUUGUUGAGAUGGUUUAUCAAUUAACAUUUUGCCUCUACUCUUUUGUCUUUUCUCAAAGGGUUGUUGCUUUUACGAAUGGGAAAAUCAUGGACAUAACAGAGAGGGGCAACCACCCUUUUCAGAAAACCCCUCCCUCUAAUGUCUCAUUCUUCCUUUUCGGGUUUAACUGCAGGGAUUUUGCUAAACCCUCUAUGUUACUGUUUCUGCUUAAAUAUUUAUGGACAUCCUCAGCAGGUUACCUGUACGGUCUCUUUUUCGUUUCAAAUGUGUGUGUGUGUGUGUGUGUAUAUAUAUAUAUAUAUAUAUAUACCCGAGCCUUAGUUUAAGCUGAAGCAGAAGCAUCUAUAACAUGCCAAUAAUAACCAAAAAAAUUUUUUUUAAAAAAAGAAGGAAAUCUUGUGAAGUAAAACACACUUGUUUAUAAGAGAAAAGUUAACCGAAGAGACCCGUAAGUCUACAUUUAAGAAACUACUCCCAAUUUUAUGCUUUCUGUUAUAAACCAAACAGAAUAAAGUAAACCACAAGCAGAAAGAAAAACAACAACACACAGAUUUACUUGGAAACCCUUGCGGGAAAAAACACGGGCAGAGGAGUUUCACUAUAAUGGAGAAGAGUACAAUGAAGAGACUAUGUCUCAAUUUCGUGUAUUUUUCUGAAUGACCCGAAACAGCCCACUAAAUCGCAGUUAUAUAGUAUGUGCGUACAAAUAAGUCUUAGAUUGGCCCGAUCUCUACACUACCACCACUGACCCCAUUGAAAAUCACAAACAUGGGUCGCACCGCAAAACUUUCAGGCCCGGAACAACAAAAUUCGGGUCACAACUCUAAUACUUUCCAUGCUAAUUUGCCUGAAAAUGCAGUGAUGCAGGAGCAGGGUAGUGAUAGGUAGAUAUAGACAGACACAGACAUACAAUAUAUAUAUACACACACACAUACAUAUGUAAAAGAGGGCUGUUGAUUAGAGCAAAAAGAAAUCAUUGGCAUGCCGGAGAUGGUCAACCACCCUGAAAAAUCCCCAUUUUCUCUAAUUGCCUCAUUUUUGAGCUAAAAAGUUGAUGGAGAACAGCAUCUAAAAUGGGGUGUUCAGGAAAAAAGUGAAGAACCUAAUUGGGUUUUCCAGGUCCUGAGAACAACCAUCCAAUUCAAGACCAUCAAAUGGUUGCGUAAAUCUUUUAGGGAUCAAAUUUUCCUUUUCUAUGAACAUGCAAAGAGAAAGUGACCACGCCAUGGCUGCAGACACUGGUUUGCGAAUGAUGCCAUACCAGGUUGCCCCGCCAAAUUACGGAAAAGAUUUUAUCAACGCUGUGUAGUGGGGGGAAGUACACAGUCAGUCGUUGUUAGGACCCCUAUAUAAAGAUCAGUUAGAAGUUGAGGCUCAGAUCUGUGUAAAAUGCAGCAAAGAGAAGACGACAACGCCAUGGCUGCAAAAUGAACCGAUUGCAUGAUUCAAUUUCACCCUGCCAAGAUACGGGUCGGGUUUUCUCCAUGCUUCAAAUAUCAGCCCAGAUUAGCAAUAUCAUCACUGCCUCUCGGAUAAUGAAAACUUCUUCACUGCCAUUUGUGGACAGUUUCGAGACACAAAAUGAACAGAGGGAGUACUAUUGAUAUCAGCAUCACAUCAAUGGCAACAGAUAUUUGCCUUCCUUUUAGGUCAAAACAACAACCAAAACCAAAACCAAAAGAUGAGUGUCAGAUGGAUUUGAGUAUUUUUUUGUGUAAAAAUUAGAUUUAAUUAUAUUGUUUUGAUGUCUCUAUCAUCUUAUUGUUUUGUUGCAGUUUACAGGUGGUAGAAGAAUGUUGAUCGGCUUUAAGAAUUUUUUUUUGUAAAGGUUAGGUUUAAUUAAAUAAAUUCUCCAAAAGAUGUUGAAUUUAAUUAUUGUAUUCAUCUUUGUUAUUUAAACAAAUAUUCUAUUUCGUUUAGCGUUUGAACUCAAUAAAGUGAGGUACACGCGCGAGGUGCAUACACCUAAACAAGUAUAUACAAACACAUACAUAUGUAAAAGAGGCUGUCGGUUAGAGCAAAAAAGAAAUCAUUGGCAUGUCGGAAAUGGUCAACCACCUUGAAAAAUCCCCAUUUUUCUCCAAGUGCCUCAUUUAUGAGCUAAAAAGGUGACGGAGAACAGCAUCUAAAAUGGGGUGUUCAGGAAAACAGUGUAGAACCCAAUUGGAUUCUCCACAUCCUGAGAACGACCAUCCAAUUCAAGACCAUCAAAUGGUUGCGUAAAUCUUUUAGGGCUCAAAUUUUCCUUUUCUAUGAACAUGCAAAAAGAAAGUGACCACGCCAUGGCUGCAGACACCGGUUUGCAAACGAUGCCAUACCAGGUUGCCACGCCAAAUUACGGAUCGGAUUUUAUCAACGCUGUGAAGUGGGAGAAGUACACAACCGUUGUUAGGACCCCUAUAAAAAGAUCAGUUGGAAGUUGAGGCUCAGAUCUGCGUAAAAUGCAGCAAAGAGAAGACGACAACGCCAUGGCUGCAAAACGAACCAAUUGCAUGGUUCAAUUUCACCCCGCCAAGAUACGAGUCGGGUUUUCUCCAUGCCUCAAAUAUCAGCCCAGCUUAGCAAUAUCAUCACUGCCUCUCGGAUAAUGAAAACUUCUUCACUGUCAUUUGUGGACAGUUUCGAGACAAAAAAUGUACGGAGGGAGUACCAUUGAUAUCAGCAUCACAUCAAUGGCAACAGAUAUUUGCCUUCUUUUUAGGUCAAAACCAAAACCAAAACCAAACCAUGAACACCCCAAAAUAUACCAAAGAAAGAAAUGAAAACAGAGGUUGAUGGAGAAAUAUACCAAACAAGCCAUCCUGGUUUUCCAUGCCAACCUACAGGUCAGCAAUAUCGUCACUGCCUCUUCUGAAAAUGGGAAUUUUUCCAUAAGAGCCUGUUCGGACAAUUUCAGCAACAUGUGUCUAAUAGACACAGUUUGGCUCUACGUGUUCAAACCACCCUUAGUUGGAUGUCCAAAUGAAAACUUUCAGCAAGUUUGAGGGACCGUCAAUGUAUUCAGUCAUAUCAAAAAGACUUGAGGCUCAGAUAAGUGAUUAACCCCGGCAAUGAGUUCUCUGACACUGCCACGGCUGCAAACCCGAUAAUACGGGUUGCCCCGCCAAGAUACAGGUCUGAAACAACAGUGCCAGUUUCCAUAUUCUCAAUAAUAAUCAAUUAUCACAGUCCUAUCAUUAGAAAAUUAAUUAACAAAAGAAAACAUAGGUACUGUUGGAAGUUGAAUUUACAGGUUGGGGGCUUAGAAGUGAAUCUUGUAGACCAAACAGUAUUGUAAUAUUAUUCUUCACGUCCUGGGACGUCCAGUUGGAUUAGUUGGAUAUUGAGGCUCAGAUCUGCAAAAAAUGGGGUAAAGAGAAGGCGACAGCGCCAUGGCUGCAAAAGAACCAGUUGCAUGUGAAAGAGAAGACUCAAGCACAAGCCAUCCAGGUUUGCCAUACUCAAGCACAAGCCAUCCAGGUUUGCCAUACUAAGAUAUGGGUUAGAUUGCCUCCAUCCCCCAAACAUCAGCCCAUAUUAGCAAUAUCAUCACUGCCUCUUUCAGAAAAGACUGAAACUUUUCCAGUAGAGCCAGUUUGAACGACUUUAGCAGGAAAAAUUAAUAAAACAAAAAGAAGACCUUAGCUUAAAAUGAUAACCUUCAACAUCAAAUCUCCAACAUUGAAGCUGAGGGCAACAAACAGUUUCUUGUUUCCAGUUUUGCAGAGGGUUGUUGGAAUGGUUAAAGGAGAAAUCAUUGGCCAAUCAGCGGAGGCAACCACCCUCCAAAGAAAUUCCCUUUUUCUCCCUGUUGGCCUCAUUAUUCACACAGGGCUGAGCUUCCAUUACUCAUCCCGUCAGGAUACAAAACCAAACCGAACUAUGAACACGCCAUACCAUAGCAUGGGAAACCACCAUCCAAACAAAGUGUAAAUAUACCAAUGAAAAAAAAAGGUUAUUGGUUGGCUUCAUUCUUCCUUCUGGGCUCAGAUCUUUAAUUUAUCUGAGGCAUUGAGUUAUUAGAAACCACCAUGGCUGCAAACCCUAUAACAUGGGUCGCCCUGCAUGGGUACGGGCCUGAAUCAACAAUACCUGAUUUCAUUUGCUCAAUAAAAGUAUCAUCACAGCCACAUUAUUAUCCUUUUCAAUUUCAUUGCUGUAAGCUUUUGCUGUUGCUGUUCCAGGAAAACACAGCCAUUGAGGAACCGAGUAUGACAGUAGCAGAAACAGAGAAAAUGAUCAAAAAAGGUCCUUAAUAUUACUUAGAGCUAAGAGAUACUAGAAAUCAUAUGCGUGAUGGAAAUGGUCGACCACCCGGAAAAUCCAGAUAACUUCCCAUUUUUGCUCCAACUGACUCAUUCUUUUUACCUAAAAUUUGACGGAGAACACCAUCAGGUGUUCAAGAAAAAGUGAACAGCUGGCGUUCACCAAACCACAGGUCCUGGGUUCGUAUCCUGAACUGUCCGAAAGGACUAGUUGGAAAUCGAGGCUCAGAUCUGCAGCAAAUGGGGAAAAGAGAAUGUGACAACGCCAUGGCUGCAAAGGAACCGGUAGCAUGUGAAAGAGAAGACUCAAUCACAAACAAUCCGGAUUUGCCAUGCCAAGAUAAGGGUCAGAUUGUCUCCACGCCCAAACAUCAGCCCAGAUUAGCAAUAUCAUCAUAGCCUCGUGUGAAAGAUGGGAACAUUCCCACAAGUAGGCAUUUGGACAACUCAGAGUAAAUUUUAACAAACAUAAGAGCACUUUUCAUGAGCCGGGGGUCUACUGGAAACAACCUCUCUACCCUGCAAAGGUAAGACAGACAGAAAGAGACAUGCAGUAUAUACACACACACAGAGACCAUACAUAUGCUAAAAGGGCAUUAUUGGGUUUUCCAGUUCCAUUGAAGACCCGUUAAACUUUUGGGGCUCAGAUUCUGCAGUAUAUCAGCAUGAAAGAGAAAGCAACACAAGCCAUGGCUGCGGACACCGGUUUGCAGAUGGAUGCCCUACCAGGUCGCCCCGCCAAGAUACAGGUUGGAUUUUAGGAAAGAUAUCAGUUUUCACAGGGGUCCUAUUACCUCCCUGAAUUCAGUUUUAGCGUAUUUUUAUCACCCUUUUGUGCUUUUGUGCUGACAUGGCACCUUUAUUACAUAAAAUGGGGCCCAUGUCAAAGGUGUUACGUCAGCUAAAUAGGUUGACAAAAGGUGCCACGUCAGCUAAAAAAAUGACAAAAAUAUGCUAAAAUUUAGUUCAAGGGGUAAUAGGACCCUUGUGAUGUUGGAGUGUGUCGCAGCAAAUUCGGUCAAGUUCAGGGGGGGUACUAGUUGCUUUACUCUAAGCAUUUCCCUUCAUACCAAAGACACCCUUAAUAGCACUACAAUACAUUAGGUAACAACCAUUGAAAAAGAGCAAUGAAGCUUAGAUCAGUUGAUGAAACAAGAGAAUGAAGACACAGCCAUGGCUGCAAACCUCGGGUUGCGUUCCGGGUCGCCCUGCCAAGAUACAGGUCUCUUAAUUUCUCUGGUCAAGUAUCACUGAAGCCUCAGAAUCUCUCUCUCUCGCUCGCUCACUUUCUGCAUGAGAUCAAGUUAGUUCAACUCCAUAACAUAAAGGACAAUUUGAUUCAACAAUUUCAACAGGGUGCGGAUAAUUUUCCCCUGAGAUUUAAAGGUUUGUUUGAUUUUAGUUUUUUUCAUUUUCCUUCCAUAUGAGAAAUCACUAGAGUUGCAGAUUGGGGCAACCACCCUAAAAGAGAAUGCCACCACGCCAUGGCUGCAAAAUCACCGGUUGCAUGCAAAAGAACGAGCCUCAGUUGCAGUUGCAAGCCAUCCUGGAAUUUGCAAGGCCAAGAUACAGGUCGGAUUGUCUUCAAUGCCCCAUUUUUGUGAACCCAGAAAGUACUAUUAUUAUCAUCGCCAGCUCAAAAAAGGUCAUUAGUGCAAAUUCCCCGAGAAUACACACGCGUCAGAUAUAUAUGGAUUGAUCAUCUUCUGCUUCUAUUGCAAGAACAAGGGCUGUUGGUAUAGUAGCUACAGAAAAUCAUUGGCCCAACGGAGAGGAGCAACCACCCUUACAAGAAAAUCCUCUCUCCGUUAACCUCAUUUAUCUCUUUUAGGGAUAUUUGGCUCUCAGAUGAAAAUUUCACCACUUUUCUCUCCUCGUAGGGAUCCGCUGGUAACCAAGUGCUGAUUUCAUCAUGAAAAAAAAAUGUAUAAAUAACAUAAAUACCAACCCUUUUGGAAGUAAUUACACUCUCCCACUUUUUUACUUACUUUACUCUCUCCCUAUUAAUAUACAUAACAUAGCCGACAUAUACAUAGCAUACUGUGUAUAUGUUGGGAUUUUUGUAAUAUGUUUAGGGAGUUGGGAUUUUUCGUAAUAUUGGAAACAAAAGUUGUGUAUUUGUGUAAUUUUUAGAAAAAAAAUUCCAUCAUACCAAAGACACCUUAAGAGUGAAGUUGACGCUCAGAUCUGUUCAUAAGACAAGAGAAUGAAGGCGAUGCCAUGGCUGCAAACACUGGUUGCAUGACACAAUCAUUAGUCAUCCGGAUUGCCCCGCCAAGAUACAGUCCCUUUAUUUUCUGGUCCUAACGAGUUGCUCCCAAAAAGAAGGGAAAAGAACAUCAUCAUAGCCUCAUAUUCUCUAUCCAUCCAUCUAUCUAUCUAUCUAUCUAUAUAUAUAUACACACACAUAUAUAUAUAUCCUGAAAAAUGUUUUUUUUGGGUUACGAGAGGGCAUAAAUUGAAGAAAAACACAAAAUUAGGGAAAAACUGCAAAUGACCCAGUAUACAUACAUCAUUCUAAUUGGAACAAACUUAAAUGUAAGCACAAGAGAUCCACAGUUUGAUUUCAAGAAAUUUGAGGCUCAGAAUUUAGCAUUUUUGCUCAGACAAAGAGAAGACAACCACGCCAUGGCUGCAAAAUCACCAGUUGCAUGCAAAAGAGUGAGCCUCAGUUGCAGACAAUCCUGGGAUUUGCCAAGCCAAGUUACGGGUAGGAUUAUCCUCGAUGCCCGAUUUUGUUAGCCCAAAUAUGAAACAUUGUCAUCAUCACAGCCUCUUUUGCACAAUUACUUUAAAGGGGGAGAAAGCAACACAAACAGACUGAGAUCUAGCUGUUGUUUCCCUGAGUAUUUCAUUAACAAGGGAUGUUGCUAUAGUUGUUAAAAUGAAAAUCAUUGGCACAACAGAGAGGGGCAACCACCCUUAACAAAAAGUCCCUACUCUCUAUUAACCUCAUUUUUCUUCCUGGGCCAACCUUCUUUAGGAAAAUUCCUCGUUAAAAUUUCCCAGCUUUCUUCUUUUCAGAGGGCUACAUUAGAAACCAAACACGGAUGACAUUCAUCAUAAAAACAUUUCCUUUUGUACCAAAUACACCCUAGUAGAAUAACAAUACAGCACAAUAGGUAACAACCAUCCAAACAGGCUACAAGAGUAAAAUUGAAGCUCAGAUCUGUUGAUAAAACAAGAGAAUGAAGACAUCGACAUGGCAGCAAACCUCGGAUUGCAUCCGGGUCGCCCAGCCAAGAUACAGAUCUCUUAAUUUCUCUUGUCAAGUAUCAUUGAAGCUUCAGAAUCUAUAUAUAUAUAUAUAUACAUAUAUAUCUUCUCUUUGUGAGAUGAAUUUGGUUCAACUCCAUAACAUGAAGGAACAUUUGAUUCAAAAAUCUCAAUAGGGUGUUGAUAAGUUUUCCCUGAGAUUUAUGGGGUUGUUUGAAUUUUUUUCAUUUUCUUUUCAUACACUGGCGUUACAGAUAGGGGCAACCACCCUUCAGAAAUCCCUCCAAACAUUAACAACUCCUUUCCUAACCAAACGACCCCUUAAAGAGAAUAUCAUUGCCUCCACGCCAUGGCUGCAAAAUCACCGGUUGCAUGCAAAAGAAAGAGCCUCAGUUGCACGCCAUCCUGGGAUUUGCCAGGCCAAGAUACGGGCUGGAUUAUCUUCAAUGCUUCACUUGUUAACCCAGAAAGUGCCAUUGUUACCAUCAGUACCUCAAAGAAACGUCACUAGUGUAAAUUCCCCAAGAAUACACACUCGCUGAGAUAUAUGGAUUAUAUUCUGCUGCCUAUAUUCCAUGAACAAGGGCUGUUGGUAUAGUAGCUACAGAAAAUCAUUGGCACAAUGGAGAGGGGCAACCACCCUUAGAAGAAAAUCCCUUCUCUCUAUUAACCUCACUUCUCCUUCUGGGUGAAUUCUUUUCGGAACACUUGGCUCUCACCUGAAAUUUCACAACUUUUAUUUCCUCAUAGGGAUAUAAUGGUAAUCGAGUGUUGCUUUCAUCAUGAAAAAUGUUUUCCAUCAUACCAAAGACACCCUAAAAGUAAGUUGAGGCUCAGAUGUUGAUAAGACAAGGGAAUGAAGGUGAUGAUCAUGGCUGCAAACACCAUUGGCAUGACACAAAAUCACUAGCCGUCUGCAUUGCCCCGCCAAGAUACAGUCCCUUUAUUUCCUUGUCCUAUUGAGUUGGUCAAAAAAAGAAGGGAAGAAAAUAUCAUCAUAGCCUCAUAAUCUCUAUCUAUAUAUCUAUAUAUCAACAAUAUUCACUGAAAAAGCAAAGUGCUUUUGGUUUAAAUGCAGACAUACGAGGAAUUAAGAUCUCCUGGUCACUUACAAAAUGAACAGAAGAAAUUUGAGGCUCAGAUGCUGCAUUUUGUCUCGGACAAAGAGAAGGCAACCUCGCCAUGGCUGCAAAAUCACCAGUUGCAUGCAAAAGAGUGAGCCUCAGUUUGCAGGCCAUCCUGGGAUUUGCCAAGCCAAGAUACGGGUAGGACUAUCCUCAAUGCCCGAUUUUGUUAGCCCACAAAGUAAAACAUUGUCAUCAUCACAGCCUCUUUUGCACAAUUAAACCCAAAAGGGGGGAAAAACAACAUACACACACACACUAAGUUGCUGUUUGUCUUUGUAGUUCAUCAACAAGGGCUGUUGCUUUAGUUGCUAUUAAUACAAUCAUGGGCAUAAUAGAGAGGAGCAACCAACCUUAACAAAAAAUCCUUCUCUCCAUUAACCUCAUGACACCGUAUCUCAUGUCCAAACAGGCCCUUAGUUUCAACAGAAAAUUCUCCAACUUUCAUCAACUCCUCAUAAAAACGAAAACAUUUUCCUUCAUACCAAACACACUCUUUCAAAAUAACAACACAACACAAGCUUCAAGAGUAAAAUUGAAGGUCGAAUCAGUUGAUAAAACAAGAGAAUAUAGACAUCGCCAUGGCUGCUAACCUCGGGUUGCAUUCCGGGCCGCCCCGCCAAGAUACGUUCUUUGAAUUCUCUUGCCAAGUACCAAUUGCAGCCUCAAAACUUUCUCUUUCUCUCUCUCUCUCUCUCUCUCUCGCUCUAUCUACCUUUGUGACUUGUGAGCUGAAUAUAGCUCAAUUCCAUAACGUAAAGGACCAUUUUGUCAUAAAUUCUCAAGGGCUGUUUGAUUUUUUUUCCUUUUUUUCCAUAUGAGAAAUCAUUGGUGUCAUAGAGAGGGACAACCACCCUGAGAAAAAUCCCUUCUCUCUAUUAACCUCAUUUCUCUUUCUGGGCUGAACUUUUUUAGGAAAAUUCUUGAAGUUUUCACCAGAAAAUUUCUCAACUUUCUUCUUAUCAAAAGGUCAACAUUAGUAACCGAACACUGAUGAAACUCAUCAUUAAAGAAAAGAAAGAACAUUUUUCGUCAUACCAAACACAUCCUUUUAGAUAAAUAAUACAACAUACAGACUGAACAGUUGUUUCUCUGAGUAUUUCAUUAACAAGGGCUGUUGCUUCUAGCUGCAAAAAACAAAAUCAUCGGCACAACAGAGAGGGGCAGCCACCGUUGACAAAAAUCCUUCUCUCUAUUCACCUCAUUUUUCUUCCUCGGCUAACUUCCUUUAGGAAAGUUCUCCGUUUUCAUCAGAAAAUUUUCCGAACUUUCUUCUUUUCAGAGGGCUACAUUAGUAACCAAACACUGAUGAAAUUCAUCAUAAAAAGAAAAUAUUUUCCCUCACACCAAAGACACCUUUUAGAAUAACAAUACAUCACACAGACUAAACAAUUGCUUGUCUGAGUAUUUCGUCAACAAGGGCUGUUGCUUUAGUUGUUAAAAAAGAAUAUCAUUGGCACAACAGAGAGGGGCAACCACCCUUAACAAAAAUAUCCCUUCUCUCUAUUCACAUCAUUUUUCUUUCUUGCCUAAGUCUUUUUUCUUUUUUGGUUUUCCACCAGAAAUUUUCCAACUUUCUUCUUCACUGAAGGACUACAUUAGUAACCAAACAUUAAUGAAAUUCAUCAUUAAAAUUUAAAAAAAAAAAAAAUCUUUUCUUCAUACCAAACACCACCUUUUACUUUAGAAAAACAUACAACACCUUAGUUUUCAGCAAAAAAUUUCCCAACUUUCUUCUUCUCAGAUGAAACUCAUUAUCAAAAAAGAACACAUUUUUUUUCAUACUAAAGAUUACCUUUUAGAUUAACAACACAAUAUUGCAUGUCCAAACAUGCCCUUAAUUUUCACCAAGAAAAUUCCCAAACUUUCUUCUUCUUAGAUGAACCUCAUCAUCAAAAAAAUCACAUUUUUCUUCAUACCAAACACACACUUUUAGUUUAGCAACUCAACAUUGCAUGUCCAAACAGGCCCUUAAUUUUCACCAAGAAAAUUCCCAAACUUUCUUCUUCUUAGAUGAAACUCAUCAUCAAAAAUGAUCACAUUUUUCUUCCUACCAAACACACACUUUUAGUUUUUUCUUCAUACAAACACACACUUUUAGUUUAGCAACACAAUAUUGCAUGUCCAAACAGCCCCUUAGUUUUCACCAAGAAAAUUUCCCAACUUUCUUUUCAUAUGAAACUCAUCAUCAAAGACAUCACAUUUUUCUUCAUACCAAACACACCCUUUUAGUUUAACAACACAAUAUUGCAUAUACAAACAGGCCCUUAGUUUUCACCAAAAAGACCACAUUUUUCUUCAUCCAUCAUCAAAAAAAAAAAAAAAAUCACAUUUUUCUUCAAACCAAACACACCCUUUUAGAUUAACAAGACAAUAUAGCAUGUCCAGACAGGCCCUUAGUUUUCACCAAAAAGAUCACAUUUUUCUUCAUCCAUCAUCAAAAAAGAUCACAUUUUUCUUCAAAUCAAACACACCCUUUUAGUUUAACAACCCAACAUUGCAUGUCCAAACAUGCCCUUAGUUUUCACAAAGCAAAUUCCCAAACUUUCUUCUUCUCACAUAAAAUUCAUCAUCAAAAAAGAUCACAUUUUUCUACAUACCAAACACACCCUUUUACAUCAACAACACAAUCUACAAAAGUAAAAUUAAAGCUCAGAUUUGUUGAUUAAAAACAAGAAAACUGAACACACAGCCAUGGCUACUUACCUCGGGCUGCGUGCCAGGUCGACCUCGGGUCAGCUCCAAAUCCCCUCUGAGCUGAGCUUUUGGGUUUUGGUGGUUGUUCAUCAAUGGAAGCUCAGCAUCUUAAAAGCAGCAAUGUUUCCAAUUUUACCCUCUUGUUUAGCAUUGUAAUAUGUCAAAAGUGAAGGGUAUUUUGGUGUAAAGAAAUAUAAUAAUUAUAGUUUACUGUACUUUUAUGCACAGCAACACAUAGUUGUACUUCGUACUGUUCAGCUUUGAACUUAAGGAACAGGAAUAAUUAAUUUCGAAAUUAAUUAUUUCAAUAUAUAUAUAUAUAUGGGACAACUUAUUUCAUCACUAAGAUAUAAAUGAUGUGAUAAAUAAUUUUGAAAUUUAAUAAUACUUUCAACCAAACGUGGGAUAAAAUAAUUCUGCGUUUUAUUCUAUGACUGUUAUAUCGUAUAUACCUCACACCAAAUGAUCCCUUAGACAUUGAAAUCCACGUGGAAAUACAUAUUUACAGUAAUAAGUUAGAUAUCAAAAUUCACGUGGAAAUACAUAAUUACAUCAAUUAGUUAGAUGUUGGAAUCCACGUGGAAAUAAUUAUUCUAGGACUAUUAUAUCUUAUAGCUCACACCAAACGAUCCCUUAGAUAUCGAAAUCCACUUGGAAAUGCAUACUUACAUUAAUCGGUUGGAUAUCGAAAUUCACGUGGAAAUACAUAAUUACAUCAAUUAGUUAGAUAACGAAAUUCAAAUGAAAAAUACAUAAUUACAUUAAUAAGUUAGAUAUCAAAAUCCAGGUGGAAAUACAUAAUUAUAUGAAUUAGUUAGCGAUUGAAAUCCAAAUGGAAAUACAUAAUUAUAUUAAUCCCUUAGAUCUCGAGAUUUAAUGUGGUGAAAAAGUACUUGUGUCUCAGAACUCAUAAUUACGACCAUGAAUGUGACUGAAAAAAUGUAAGGAGUAGUUCGAUCGUGGCGAUUUUGGCCGAUUAAUCAUUUAAUAUGUUAUUGCGAUAACAUCCAUUCGUUACAUUACUUCAAGUCAGUCCCUAGAUAGGAUCGAGGGGUUCAUCCAAACCCUCUUUGUUGGAAUAUUUAACUCUUUAAGAUAUGAUUAAAAUUAUUUUAUAUGCUGAACCUUUUCAACUUCUUCGUAUGUUUAGUUCUUCACAUUUUGAACCUCGUUAGUAAAAAUCCCGACUCCACUACUAUCUUUCGAUAUGUUAAUCCCUUACUCCGCAAAGGGAAAAAAGAGAAAAAGACGAGAACGCGAUUCUUCAUUAAUAUUUGACUGGAUCUCUAAUCUUCUUCGUUCUUUCCCAUGACGAUAACUAGAAUGAAAAAAGGGGAUUGGAGGAAAUAGGUCCCACUCGGAGCUUUUAGAAUAUCUUAGUUGCGCAGACUCUUUACUUUCGAUGCCGCAACCGUAUCAGAUUCUCCAAAAAUACACUAGCUUUGGCGAGAGAAUCCGACACGCACCCAUUGACAUUUUUGAAGAGUUCGAGCAAUGUAGAUUAUAUUUACAUAAUAUCUUUGCCUCUUUGAUGGAGAAAAAUUUUCUGCACAACAUCACCUUCCAAGGUGACUAAGUAGGAUACCUGUUAAAAAUACUAGAAGUAUCAAAACAUCAAGUAACAUAAUAUAAGGGGCUUGUGUGUAAAUAUACGUUGCUCGGACUCGUCAAAAAGGUUGUCGCAUUCGUGUCGAAUCCUUAAAAAAUGCACUACUUUUGAAAGAUCCUACAUCUGACAUGCACUUGUCGACAUUUUUGAUGAGUCCGAGCAACAUUCAAAAUACUCACAAUUUCUAGAGCACUGACUUUGUGAAGGAGGAAUCCAUUUACUUUCUCCCUAGAAAAAAUCGAAAAUGAAGAGAAAAGGUUACACGAUGAUAAAUGGAAAGUGUACACUCGAGUCCUAUGUUGGUCGGAUCCUCCAAAAAUGCUGACUAGUGUGUGGCGGAUUCUCUAAAAGUAAUAUGUUUUUGGAGGAUUUGACACGAGUGAGGCAGCAUUUUGGGAGGUUCCGAGCAACAUCGCUUGAGUCUCGAUAGUCUACUGAACACUGAGAAAAACAACUUACAUCGAGUAAGGCGAGUUCCGAUUCAUUUUUGUCAGCAAAGGUCCUUUAUAUCUGGCCGUUCCAGUUUUGGGUUUCGCGAUAGGUCUUUCCUCGACAUCGUUGGCACAAGCCGGACCACUUAUAUAUGCAUCCUAAACAAGAAAGAGCAAAACAAGAUUAUCCUAUCUCGACUGAUAAUGAGCUCAGCCCUCUACCCUUCGCUUAAACACCAGGCUUUUGUUUACCGUAGAUUCCAACCUGUGAUAUGCGCCUGCACAACACAUCAUGUGUUGCGAUCGUACUACUAGAUUAACGCCUGGGCGCUUAGUUAUUCAAUUUUAUGCAGAAAGCUGAUUUUGCGGAAGAAAAUCACAUCUGGUACUAAGGUAUUCCUCAGGUCGUUUUCUCAGUUGUAGCGUUAAAAUCUUGACUUACCACCCCAUAUUUCAGAAAUACGCCAUCUAAAGAUUGGAAUUCGCGUUUGGGUUCCGUUUGAGAAGUAUCUUCUUCACAGGCUACCAACGGAUGAAAUCCAACAGCAAUGCACCUGCAUUUACGCAAUAUCUCACUUUAGUAACAUAUCUUUUCGGAGUAAAAUAGUGCAGUCUGAAGGUACCAUUUGCUUUCACUAUUUUCGAGUGUGUCUAUCAGCCACUGUGACUGUCUAUCCCCGGCACCAUUUGAAGAAGCCUAGCAACCAGAACAACAAAGUUAAAACUACUGAAAGCUCAACGACAAAAGAAAAUGAAAUUUAUGUAACUUAAGAAUGAGAAUAAUAUAUCCCUAUCUGCGAAGAAGGAUAAAGACGGGACUUUUUUCUGGGACCGGUUUAGAUACUAUGAGGUAGCUAAGAUGGGGUGGCGUUUCUUCUGAAUUUGGGUUUGAGUGCAUCCCUGGCUGUAUUUACUAUGUCUAGUGCAAAUAUAGAAGACAAAUAACGUCAAGAUAACAGUUAAAAGUGCUUAAAGAAUCUUCCCAACUACCAUAAUAGGCUUGGCGGACAACUCCUUUUUUCAUCCCAAAUUACUUAAACGACAGUCGAUCUAACAAAUGCUAAAAGUUUGACAAGUUAUCGGAUCUUCUGGUGUUGAACUUCCCAACUGUAGUCAAACGUAUUAUAAAAUAACCUUACACUGGUUGGAUAGAAGAUAAAUUAGAGGCAACGAAGCUAUAAGUAACUAUCUUUCGGAUGACAAGUAAUCAGAUUUGAUGUAACUAAAGGUCUUCGGAACAAAUUUUCUGAACAUCCAGAGAUAAAGCCAACACGCAUAAGCUACAGACUUAUCAGGAACGGUUAAGUAAAACAUUAUAUAGAAAUAUACGUGUAAACCAAAGUGAUACCAUCUUGGUAAUAUAAGUAAACAGACAUAAUCAGAUCAAAGAAUCAAACGUUUACCUCAUAUAAUCCUGUAUCCACAACUAUAAUAUCUAAACUUCCAUGGGCAAACUUGAAUUGUUUAAGGUAGUGAUUCACCCCUCGUCCUCUAAGAGCUCGUGUCGAGUACCUACAAGUUGAAGAUGGCUGAAGAGAAAUCGGAAAGACAGUUCAUUUCAAAUGAUGAAAUCCAUAUGUAAAAGUAAAAAAGUCAGUCAACAAACUGCUUAUUCAUAGAUUAGCAUACCACGGAAUCUUCACGGAAGGAAAACGCAAAGUAGCCUGUCAAUGAAGGGAGCGGUGGAGGUGUCAGUUUAUCAUUUCAUUAAAUUCGCAAUUGCAAAUAAAGAAAUCUCAUAGUCGUUGCAGUAACGAGUUCAUUAAUACGACAAAUGGGGUGUACGGUUUGUGUUAGGGAGUGGAUUCACUUUGUCAGACAAAGUUGUCACCAUGUAUUUCUCCGGUAACUGCUACCGGGAUCUUGUCACUUAAAAGAGAAGUACGUCACAAGCAAAACAUCUUUUGCACAAGAAGAGAAGUUAGCAAUCCAUGUAUCGUAGCAGUUCUUGACAACUCAUGCGAAGCCUGAGCAGUGCGACCAGUACCCAGUCGCUAACUAGGUACCUUAGUUAACUUAGUAAAUUAUCGUACUUUGACAUAAUCAACCGAGUAAAUGGUACAUCCGAAUCUAGCAUUGUCAAAAUCAAAAUCAUAUAACCACUGAAUUCUGCACUUCGAAUGUCGUUAGAGAGCUUACAUUUUGUACAAGUGGAUCCUCCUCCCCAAGUUCGCCUAUGUUGAUAACGAAUCUUGCAUUGAACUUUUUCGCUACCUUCUCCACCUACAUUCAAUAUAAGAUUACAGAGAAAAUGAAUCAGCCGAAAAUGGGUCGACUAUUUGAAUCAUCGGUGACCAUGUCACCCCAUUUAAUCUCACUACACGCCAAUAGCACAGAUAAAAGUACUAGACGUCUCUAUAGUUUCUGCUGACAUACCUUCAACACAUACUAAAAUGACUAAAAUGUGUUCCAACUAAUUGAUAUCGCCUAGCUUUUGCUUCCAUUGUGCCUAUUUUUUCCCAACUCGGCAUGGAUUCCGAGAGAUUGUAGGUCUAAACGACUACCUCAUCCUUUUAACAUCUUCUUUCACAAUGUUUUCACAUCUAUUGACCGCCAGAACGGAGAAUUUGGAGGUCGACACUCAACCAUCUCAAGUGACUUUAUAUCGUUUUAUCCUCAACGUGUGCUAUUUGCACCUUCUUCUGAAUUUGGUCAUUUUUAAUCUUGUAUAAUUACAUAUUCAAAUGAUACGUUGUAACUGAAUUAUUCUUUGUCAACUUAAUUAUGCAAAAAAGUGGGGUCUUAGGAAGAUAGAGUGUACGCAGACCUUACCCCUACCUUAGAGAUAGAGAGGUUGUUGCCGAUAGACCCUCAACUCAAGAAGAAAAAAAAAACAGUCCAAAGCAGUGUAGAAUAAGAAAUAAUGGAAAUGAAGAAGUAAAAAAAAAAAAAAAUACUAUAGACAACCUCGCAAAUCUUCCUGAACAGUAAUCAACAUCAACAACAACAUAUCAAGUAUAAUCCCAGAAGCAGGGUCUGGAAGGAUAGUGCGUACGCGGACCUUAACUCUACCUUGGGAGGUAGAGAGGCUAUUUCCGAUAGACACUUGCUAAUCUUCACCAAACCAAAAUUCAGCUCAAAAAAACAUGUCCCAUCAAUGAACAUUCAAAUAAAAAUCAUUCCUUUACACAAAUAACCAACGAAAACUCUUUCGCUAAAUUCUUCUACUACAGACUGAACUUACACUGCCAAUCUUGAAAAACAACAUCAUAUCCAGUAUAACCCCACAAGCGUGGUCUGGAAGGAUAGUGUGUACGCAGACCUUAACCCGACCUUGAGAGGUAGAGAGGUUGUUUCCGAUAAACACUUGUCAAUCUUCACCAAACCAAAAUUCAGCUCAAAAAAACAUGUCCCAACAACGAACAUUCAAAUAAAAUCAUUUCUUUACACAAAUUGCUAAAUUCUUCUACUAGAGACUGAACUAACACUGUCAAUCUUCAACAACAACAACAACAUAUACAGUAUAAUCCCACAAGUGGGAUCUGGGAGGAUAGUAUGUACGCGGACAUAAACUGUACCAUGGGAAGUAGAGAGGCUGUUUCCGAUAGACACUUGCCAAUCUUCAAAAACAACAACAUAUCAAGUAUAAUCCCACAAGCGGGAUCUGGUAGGAUAGUGUGUACGCAGACCUUAACUCUACCUCGAGAGGUAGAGAAGCUGUUUCCGAUAGACACUUGCCAAUCUUCAAAAACAACAACGCAUCAAGUAUAAUCCCACAAGCAGGGUCUAGGAGGAUAGUGUGUACGCAGACCUUAACCCGACCUCGAGAGGUAGAGUGGCUGUUUCCGAUAGAGACUUGCCAAUCUUGAAAAACAACAACAUAUCAAGUAUAAUCCCACAAGCGGGGGGCCAGGGAGGAUGGUAUGUACGCGGACAUAAACUCUACCAUGGGAAGUAGAGAGGCUGUUUCCGAUAGACACUUGCCAAGCUUCAAAAACAAGCAACAUAUCAAGUAUAAUCCCACAAGCGGGACACAAACCUUAACUCUACCUCGAGAGGUAGAGAAGCUGUUUCCCAUAGACACUUGCCAAUCUUCAAAAACAAGCAACAUAUCAAGUAUAAUCCCACAAGCAGGGUCCGGAAGGAUAGUGUGUACGUAGACCUUAACUCUACCUCGAGAGGUAGAGAAGCUGUUUCCGAUAGACACUUGCCAAUCUUCAAAAACAACAACAUAUCCGGCAUAAUCCCACAAGUGGGGUCCGGAAGGAUAGUGUGUACGCAGACCUUAACGCUGUUUCCGAUAGACACUUGCCAAUCUUCAAAAACAACAACAUAUCCGGUAUAAUCCCACAAGUGGGGUCCGGAAGGAUAGUGUGUACGCAGAACUUAACUCUACCUCGGGAGGUAGAGAAGCUGUUUCCGAUAGACACUAGCCAAUCACUUGGGAGGUAGAGAAGCUGUUUCCGAUAGACACUUGCCAAUCUUCAAAAACAACAACAUAUCAAGUAUAAUCCCAGAAGCGGGAUCUAGAAGGAUAGUGUGAACGCAGACCUUAACUCUAACUUGGGAGGUAGAGAGGCUGUUUCCGAUAGACACUUGCCCAUCUUCACCAAACCAAAAUUCAGCACAAAAAAACAUCUCCCAACAAUGAACAUUCAAACAAAAGAAAAAACAAUCUUUACACAAAUAACCAAAAAUAGGAACAUUUUUGUCCAAGAUUGAUUAAGAAACUAACCUGUUUGAUAAGAAGUGUCUGUUCUUCAAGAUUCCUAACACCCCCUAUAACACUAAUAAAAUACAUAUCCAUAGGAAUAUCAUUCACAUUUCCAUUCCUAAUAAUUUUCUUCUGAUUUUGACUCAAGUUGAUAACAAGAAAAAGUGAUAAACAUAAAAAAAACUGAGUGAUUAUAGUACAAACCCAUGAUUUCUGCAUCAUUAUCAAUGUACCAAGAUUCAGUUUUUUUGUUUUUUUUUUCAGAUCCUAAGUUUAUAAUUAUAACUAAAUCCUAUAAAACUUGUACUUAUGUAAUAAGAUUUUGAACCACUCAGAGAUCAUGUGGAGUUAGUUUUAUUAGCUUGUUGCUUGUCAGAGUACACGUUAUAACCCACGUGGACUUUAAAUGCCAAGAUAAGAAUAUGAAAAUAAAAAUAAAAUUUAUUAAUGCUAAAAAUAAAAUAUGAAAAAAAAUUGUUUUAUAUUGAUCAAAUUAAGAAAAUAAUGACAAGUAAAUAUUAAUGGAGGGAGUAAAUGAAAAAGAUCCAGCAUAUUGAAUUUGACUAAAAAAAUAUUUGUUAUGAAUCGGACAGUAUUUGCAAACCACAAGCAAAAGGAAAAACAAGAACACAUAUAUUUACGUGAAAAUUCUUACGGGAAAAAUCACGAGUAGAAGCAGAGGAAUUCACUAUAAUGAGAGGAGUAUAAUGUGGAGACGAUAGUAAAACCCGAAACAGGUCACUAAACACACUUAUAUAAUACGUGCAUACAAAUAAAUUUUAGGCCCAACUACGCUAUCACCACAGACCUCAUGAAAAAUCACAAAACAUGAAUCACACCGCGAACUUUUUAGGACCGAAUCAAGAAAAUUGGGGUCACAAACUCUAACAAUAUCUUCAUUCCAUUAGAUCAAAAAUGUUCUCAAUUUUUUUUUUUAUUUUACAUUAUUGUUAACACGUUCUUGUUUUAUAUUUGCAAACAUGAACUACACUAAUGUAAGUUGCUACCACGUUUGUUUUUCAAUUGCAUCAAGAAUAAAUAAUUUUAGUUUUAUAUAUUAAAAGAUAGUAUACAUUAAUAUAUAUAAUAUAUGCUUCCAUUUUAGUGUUUUUUAACCAUACAAGUAAUACUUAGUUUUUUCUUAUAACUGUGGUGUCUGAGUCAGUUUGCACGCAAAACUCGACUAAAUGCAUGAGACACCUGCCACCUCUCACUGGCAACAGUCAUAGAGCUAGGCAUAAAAUACCAAAUUACCAAAUUGAACCAUCAAAUUUGAUAACUGGUAUUCAGUAAUUUGAUAUUUGAUAUAAUAUUUGGGAGUAAAAUUUUAACAUUUCGAUAUUCGGGAUUAGGUUUGGUUCAAGAUAUUAAUACCGUUUGAUAUUCGGUAUUUACCGAAUAUCGAAUUAUAUAUAUAUGUAUGUGUGUGUGAUCAACCCAAUAGACAAUAGUAUUAGUCAUUCCAAAAAAUCUCUUGAAACUUGAUAAUAUAUUCAUAAAAAGAAACAAAAAGAAUGCUAAAUAAGAUUUCUAUUAAAUAUACUCUUAAAAGUUUAAACAUACAUUUGCAUUUCUCUAACUUUAAUAUGGUAAAACCAAAUAUCGUACCGAACCGAAGUUUAAUAUAUCGGUUACCAAAUUACCAAACCGAUGUUAAACCGAUAUUCAUAAGUAUGGUAUGUGGUAUCUAUGUUCAAAUACCGAUUACCGAAUUACUGAACCUCAACUUUGAAAAUACCGAACCGAAUACCAAACGCCCACCCCUAGCAACAAAUACUAGGUAACUCUGUCCUAGUGUCUUCUACCGUCGCCCGCCUCUGAUCAGCAUUCCAAUACUCCGAAGCACACAUCAGAUACGCAGAGUAGUAAUUGACAUAUCCAUUCUCUGUUAGGAAUUAAACCUUAAACCUGAGACUUCAUGGUGCUCAUCUAACUUCAUUGAACCAAAGUAAUACCUGUAUUGUUGCUUUGCAUUACAUUCCACACAAUGUAAAUAAAUUUCUGCGUAAUUUAUGAACCGACUUAAUCGAACCUCAAUACAGAUACGAACACUGAGUAAGAACAAAAAUUAAAAAAUCCGAUUUGUACUCAGUUUGCAGAUGAAACAAACUGGAUUUGCUCCCAUUUGAAUUCAUUGCAGAGCUUUCAUUAGUCGAGGCCGCCUCGAUCGAGCAUGUCUACCAAAGUCAUCCGUCUCGGGAACCUUGGUGGAAGCCUUAAGAACAUUGCAUCCUCGAUCUCGAUUGGCAGAUGAGUGGCAACAAUGACGAUACCGCCUUUUUUUCUGUGCUCUGCGAUAAUAUACUCGAGCAAUUUCACACCUUCGUCAUCCAAUGCUACUGAAGGUUCAUCGAGCAACCAAAUAGGCCGAUCAAUGGCUAGCAAUCUGGCGAGUUGUACCCUUUUCCGUUGACCCAUAGAAAGCAUACGUGCUUUAUCGUUUACUAAUCUUCCGAGCCCCAUAAGCUGCAAAGCUGGCAGAGACCGUCCUUGCUUACCUUCAAGAACUUCGAACCAUUGAACAUUGUCGAGGACCGUGAACUUCUCUUUGAUCGCGUCCUUAAGAGAGAGCCAGUUGAGCUGGAGUUUGUACUGCUGAAAAACUCCUGAAUCGGUUAUGUCGUGACCAUUCCAAAGUAUCUCGCCAGCUGAUGGUUUCGAGAAACCAGCCAACAUACGCAAGAACGUGGAUUUACCGGAGCCAUUAGUGCCCGUUAAUACAAGUGCACCACCAUCAUGGAGGGAAACAUUAACGUGGCGCAAAAUUUGUUGAGCAUUUCUCAUACACGAGACAUUGUUCAGCAGAAGUCGAGGAAGUGGAGGUCCACGCAAAGACAUAUUCAAGUGAAUGAAGAACCAAGAUUACUAGAGAUAUAAAACUUCUUAGAUUGAGCAACCGCGGAAAACAAAAGGCAGAUGAUGCUCUUUCAAAUCUUGCUUCGAGCUGAGAAGAAAUUGCAAGAAAUAUCACGUAACCUGAAAAUUAAAAGCAAAAGUAGGAAAUUGAUAGUAACUCUGUAAACAGAUUCAAUCGGUUCAAAACAAAAACAGAUUAUGCUCCACAAAUGGAAUGUUUAAAACCACACAAGCAUUUUUCGGAGUUUUCGUUUCUUUCUUUAAAAUCACUGUCUAUUCAAACUUUGCCACAUAAAUUUAAACAUAUAAGAGUAUUACUUACACAAUUUCAGGUUUUGGGCAUAAAAUGGAUUUCCACACCAAUGUAUUUCUACUUGGUUCGCAAACCCAUUUAAGAGACUCAGUAAUUUGGAGUAUAGUCACUUACUAAGUUGCUCGGAUUCUUCAAAAAUGUCUACGGGUGCGUGUCGGAUCCUCCAAAAAUAGUGUAUUUCUGAAGGAUCCGAUACGGGUGCGGCAACAUUUUUAGAGAGUCCAAGCAACUUAGGUCACUUAGCUAUACGCUUUAGUUAGGUAUAUGUAUUCAAAAUUUCAAAUUUUCAUGAAGACCUUCAAAUCGAACAUAUUAACAGCCUACUAAAACAAGAGGUGUAGUUUCUAAGUCAAAAUUUAGCAGUUCAAAUUCUUCUAAUGAAUCGGGAGCCACAAAAUAAGAAUGGAGAAAAAAUGAAGAGUAGAAAUCAAAUAUCUUCUUCAAGUUUUCGAUAUUUUCAUCAAUCAUGACUUCAACACACAACGCUAAUAAUAUGCAAAAAAAUGAACAUCACAGUAUAUACAAUGACGACAGAAAUUAAUUUUUUGAACCAAAGAUUCAAGGUGAGUAUGUAGUUUUUAAAUGACCAUGAUGUGUGCCAAAAAAGUGAGACACGGCAUUUAAUCUAAACUGAACUUAGAACUAGUUGUAUUCUUUCCUUAAUAGGAUAAUACUCCAGUACAAUGCAUUUCUUAGAGAAUAUAAAUAAUUAUAAAAGGGACAUAUAUACUAUAGUCUAAGUUGCGCGAACUCUUCACUUUCAAUGCCGCACCCGUGUCGGAUUCUCCAAAAAUACACUACGUUGGGAGAAUCUGACACGCACCUGUUGUCAUUUUUGAGGAGUCCGAGCAACAUAGACUAUAGUAAACAAAUGGGACAGAGAAAAUGUGUGAGACUUUAUUACUAAUAGAAUAUAAAGUGAUGCCAAUCAGCUAAUCGUGUUGUUCUUGAGAGUUAAAUCAAAACACUUUUAGAUUCUCUAAUACAACAAACACAUAAUACAUAAACAAAAACACAGACUUAGCCUCAGCCCAACUUUUAGUAUGCACAUCUAGACACCACCCAAAGUCUACGUGCCACGCCAAUGUCGUGUGUCCACGACAUUUCUAGAUAUGCACUCUCAAAAUUGGGGCGCUUACUUGUCGGCUGAUGCCAAGUUUGAUUGUCUGUUUACGCAUUAUAACUUGGCCUCAUCUCCCAAGUAAAGCACUCGUGUAUGCACAUCUAGACGCGUCAACUCGUCUCCAUUGUAUAACAAAAUGAUCAUCUAGACACCUCCCAAAUUUUAACGGCCACUUCAACGUCACGUGUCCACGACAUGUCUAGAUAUGCACUCUCAAAAUUGGGGUGCUUACUCAUCAGCUGAGGCCAAGUUUGAUUGUUUAUUUAUGCAUUAUAACUUGGCCUCAUCUCUCAAGUACACACUCGAAUAUGCACAUCUAGACACGUCAACUCAUCUCUUCUGUAUAACAAAAUGAUCAUCUAGACACCUCACAAACUUUACUUGCCACAUCUCCACGAGGUGUCUAGAUGUGCACUCUCAUAGCUGGAGUGCUUACUUGUCAGCUGAGACCAAAUUUGAGCGUCCGUUUACUUAUUAUAACUUGGCCUCAGCUGUCAAGUAAGCACUCGAGUAUGCACAUUUAGACAUGUCAACUCGUCUCCACUGUGUAACAAAAUGAUUAUCUAAACACCUCCCAAACAUUACUUGCCACAUCAGCAUCAGGUGUCCACGAGGUGUCUAGAUGUGCACUCUCAAAACUGGAGUGCUUACUUGCUAGCAGAAACCAAGUUUGAGUGUCUGUUUACGUAUUAUGCCUAACGCAUAUAGUAUCAUCAUCCUUCUAAUUUUCUAGUUUUCCAAUUCAUUCAAUCAAAUAAAAAGAGGUAAAGCAUGAAAAGUCUCUCAUAGGCAUUUCAUCAAACAUGUUAUGAUCAUAACUCAAAAUCCCCAAAAAUAAUAGAUAAAAAAAAUUGUAUAUAGACAAACCUUGUGAUUUUCUACUGCAAAUAGAAUCACCACCGUCGCCGCCGUUCACCGCCGUCCGUACAGCUGGUUGUCGGAAGAGAGUUGGGCUGACUUGCUUAUGGUCUGGGAUAUUGAGAUCAUAUAUUAAAAUGGAUUAUUAUUUAUGGGCCUAAGCCCAUCUUGGAAUUUUAUUGGGCCCAAAUAAAAAUUCCUUCAAUAAGGCUUUAAAUUCAUUUAAUCGAGGAAAAAUAACGUGGAGUAAAAAACAUUAAAUCAUAAAUACCAGGCGUCGCUAAUACAAUAACAACAUAUUCGGUAUAUUUUCAUAAAGUGGGGGUCUGGGGAGGAUAAGUGUACGCAUUCCAUACCACUACUGCAGAGGUGAUAUAGACAUUGUUUCCGAUAAAAAAAUUACCAUGUGUAGCUAAUGUUUAAAAUAAUUAUCAUUUACAGGUAAGAUUUGGAUAAAUCUUGAUUUACUAUAGUUGUAAAAGUACGGUUUAUCUAAGGUACUAAAUUUGCUAAUUAUCGUAUAAAUCUUGAGUUAUUAUAGUUGUAAACGUACGGUAUACUCGUUUUGUAUGACUCACCACUCAGACUUGAUGAAACAAUUUAUUGUUAUCCUUGACACCUCAACGCUUUUUAUUUACUCAAGCCGAAACUUAUGCGCAUAAUUAAUCUAAUCGAAUGAGAGCGACAUAAUUUUUUAUAUGUAUCACCGUAUGUUAUGUAUCACCAUUUCAAAGUCGAGAUAAAAUAUAAUUAACAAAAUAGUCGAAAUUUUAUGUAAUAUCACUUAAAGAUUUUAAUGUAUAUGUGUGACACCUUAACUUAGGAGAAGGAGUCCCACAUCGGCAAAACACAGGAGGGAUGCUGGGUAUAUAAGUAAGCAAGUCUUACUCUCUAGUGACGCGUUUUAAAGUCGUGCGGGCCUGGCCCAGAGCGGACAAUAUCACUAAGGGAUAAGGAGUAAGGGCGAAGGGGUCUCUUGGACCUUUGUGAUUCGAGAUGUCCAUCGCGGCCAAGACCUCGGCUCGGAUCGUGACAAAUAUGCAUUCUCAUAUCAAUGAAGUUUAACCCAAAUUGGUGAAUAUAUCACCAUCUAGUUGAUUCCACACACACGAAAAAGGCCUAAUUCAGGGGUAAAGCUAGUAAAAUUAGUAAAACGUUUGCUUCAAGCCCCAAAUUUUAUUUUGAUGUCUAAAAAAAAUUAAUAGUAAAUUUUAUGAUUUCAAUUUCACUUGAAAUAAUAAUGAAGAUUGUGAAAUACAUUUUAAAAAAUUAUCCUAAGAAAUACAAAAAGAAAGAGAUACCUAAUUUUUACUAGAAAAUAUUUUAGAACUUUGAAUUAAAGAGAAAAUACUCAAUUACCCCGAACUAUACCCGAAAGAGCUGUGACACACCUCAACUUCAGGGGGUUCUAUUACCUAGAAAACUAAUUAAAAGUAGAAUUUUCACCUCCUUAGUGCCUAUGUGGCACAUACGUGUGCCUAUGUGGACACUUCAGUGUGUUGUGCUACGUAAACGUUAUUUAUGUGCCACAUAGGCACUAAGGGGGUGAAAAAUUCAUUUUUGAUUAGUUGAGGGGUAAUAGGCCCCCUUGAAGUUGAGGUAUGCCACAACUUUUUUGAAUAUAGUUCAGGAGUAAUUGAGUAUUAUCUCUUGAAUUAAAUAACCCAAACUUUAUAUUAAUAAUUAAUAUUUUAAUAAUAACAUACAAGCUUAAUAUAUUGAAAUAAAUGACUAACAUCUUAUUAAUUAGAAUGAAUCUUUCUGACUGUUAUUAUAAUACUGUUAUUUUUAUAUGUAUACUUAUAUAUGCAGGUCGUCUAAAUUAUUCUAAUACUACUCCUUCGUCCCAUUUUACGUGUGUCAUUUUCUUUUUAGUCCAUUCCAAAAGAAUGUUGUAUUUUCUUAUUUGAUAAUUAUUUAAAGAUAUAAUUUUACUUUUAUCUUUAUUUAUUCCAUUUAAUUAAUAAAAAAAAAAAUACUAGCACAUUUUUUGAUAAAGAAUAAUAUUAUCAAGUCUUCAAUAACUUCAUAUCUGGUCAAAUAGCAAUACAUAAAAUAAAAUAAAGAUAGUAUUAUUUUUUUAAAAUUUAACUUUAUACCACUAAUUUUAACAAACAAUGCCGGCCUAAAUCUCCGAAACACACUCAUAAAACAAAAAAAGUCGACACUCACAAUAUUUCCGUUUUUCUAUAAAACCGUUAGACGAAUUUUACCUUGAGUAGGCGCACAAAUUUAUUGUUGAGAAAAAGAAGAAGAAGAAGACGAAGAAUUACUGGUACACCUGAGAACAGAAAAUGGCAGGUUUAUUGGCAUGGGCAGCAGAUGUAGUAGGAGGUGGGAAAAGCAAUGAGGAAGAUGACAACCCAAAUUCAAUCCCUUUAAUUUUCACUCCACAACAACAAUCUUACUUAAUAGAUUUGGAUCGAAAAGCCACUUCUCUUACUCGUACGAUCCAAGAUCUACGGCUUAGACUCCCUCCACCUGACAUCUCAGAGCGUCUUCCUCAUCUACACGCUCAUUCCCUCGCCUCUAAUAACGCUCUUGCUCUUCAGCUUAAUGCUCACUCCGCCACCAAAGAACAGGUUUUUCUCUUGUUUUACUCACUUUAAUAGUUUUUUUUUUUUUCGAAACAUUGUUAUGAUUAGCGCAGGUUUACUUUUCAGUACUUUUUCAUUUCGGUUUGUAAUAAUUGGACUGGACAUUAUAUUUUUGGACUGGUUUUGUUUUGUUUGUUUGAUUGAUUGUUUUUGUGUGGUUUAUACAUUUUCUAUAGCAUCAAAUUAGCCGAUACGUUCCACCAAGCGAUUGUUGUCAAACCACGGGAUCAAGGGCUGCCUAACACCUAUUGAAACAUCACGUGAUAUAUUAGUCAGUAUUUCUGGUUUUAUUUUGUUUGCUUGAUUGAUUGUUUUUGUGUGGUUUAUACAUUUUGUAGUGUCAAAUUAGUCGAUACGCUCCACCAAGCGACCGUGAUCGAACCACGGGAUCAAGGGUGCCUAACACCUAUUGAAACAUCACUUGUAAUAUUAGAUAUUUCUUUUGUGAUAAUCUCACAUCUGAGGUAGUGGUAUGGACUGCUUACACUUAUCCUCCCCAGACCCCACUUGGUGGGAAUAUACUGGGUAUGUUGUUGUUGUUGUUAUUUCUUAUGUGAUAAGGAAAAGAGGAAGGACCAAUACGUACAGGGGGAUAAGAUAUUCUAGAUAUAAAUAGGUGUCGUCAUUAUACUAAUGUCAAUAUGCAUCAUUUUGUUGUGCACCAAGAUAUAUGGUAUACUAGGAGGUCAGCUUACCUUCAUUGAGAGAGCAAGUGCUGCAAGUUUGUAGAAGGUUCAUUCUUAAUUGCUUUAUCACACUGGAUAACACAUUAUAGAUGGUAGAUGUCAGAAGAACCCACACAACCCAGAUUAGAGAUAUUGGAUUUUGGUAUAUCUUACCAAUUGGUUAGUGGUAGAGCAUAACACCUUGCUUAACGUAUCACACAGUUUUCAUGUCGAAGAAUUCACUGAAGUUCCUGCAUAGAUAUCAGAGCAUCUUCUUCUUCUCAUUGCUCAUCUGAUUUCUUUUUUCGGUGAGGAUGUGUUAGUACUUUUCUUUGUCCGGAGCCGGGGGUCUAUCGGAAACAGCCUUGCUACCUCUCUGGAGGUAGUGGUAUGGACUGCGUACAUUUUACCCUCCCCAGACCCCACUGUGUGGGAAUACACUAGGUUUGUUGUUGUUGUUGAUGUGUUAGUACUUUGGAGGGUGAAAUUAUGACUUGGUUUUCUGGAAAUCUAUUUUACGAUGUUAUUGCUUAAUUAUUUCUUUUGCUUUCU
rnacentral:lncRNA from 1 species